rnacentral:lncRNA from 1 species
AUGUCAUGCCUCCAAUACCAUCUUUCAAUUGAAUCAAAGACAUUUGGUUGCCUAAAAAAUGGCGUAACUUUCUAAGCUUGCAAAUCUCCUUUAACAUAUUACGCAAUGCGAACAGUGCAACUCUUAAAUCCAAAGUCUCUAGGUUCACGAGCAUGCCAAUGGAUUUUGGAAGUCCAGUUGAAUAUCUUCCUCCAAUCAUCCAGAACUCAAUAUUUCAAAUGGUUCAAAUUUCCCAAAUCAUUAGGAAUUUCUAUUAAUUCCUUAUGCAUCAAAGCAAGCACCUUCAACCGCCUAUAUUUUGUAGGGAUCGUCCUUACAAAGGAUUUUAGUGAUGUUUUAUGUCUCAGAACAAGCAGUGAUCGAACAUGUGAGUUUUCAAUACUUUUCAUUAACUUAUCAGAACUAGUUGCUAUUGAUAGGCGUCAAAUCAUUCCAGUUAAUGACAGUUGUUUGCUCGUAAUAUUCUUGCAAAAACUUAAAUCCUCAUAUUUUCUAAGGAUCAUUUCAUGCACUAGAUCGUGAACACGACAACUUUUUACUCUUCCAUCAAUACUGACUGAAUCUACUUGCACCAAACUUCUAUGGAUUAACUCUUUUAAAUAUCCUUCUGCAACCUCUUCCAUUGUCCUUCCCCCGUAUUCUUUCACAAACCCCUCAGCAAUCCAUUGACGAGUCAAUGUAUCUGAAUAAACUUCGUAGUCUUCGAGAUAUAAUCCAAAAUACAAGAAACAUGACUUGAGGUAGUAAAGGCAAAUCAUGGUAACUAAAUCCUAAAAUUUUUCUUAUUAUGGAAUAUUCCUCUAACUCUGCAUUUAUAUUUUCACUAAACUUAGACCAUUCAAUUGGAUUUCUAUCUUUGCGAGAUAAAAUAUUACCUAUGACUACAAUUGCGAGAGGUAAUCCUUUGCAUUUUUCAAUAAUUUCGGAAGAUAUAUAAAAAAGAUUUUUUGGACAAAAUCCGUCCAAGUCACGGAACGCCUUCUUUUUAAACAAAUCCAAAGAUUGUUUUUCAGAUAAACGUUCCAGCUCAUGCACUUUACCGAAAGAUUUCUUACAAUCAUCUGUAACAUCCUUGUUUCUUGUUGUGAUUAAUAUCUUACAACCAUUUUUGUUAUCAAUCAUAGCAAAUUCAAAUAUCUUGCCAAAAAUGUGACUCCUAUACAUUAUCAAACACUACAACGUACCUUUUUCCUUGCAAGUUGUUUCUCACUUCAUCAACUAAUGGCUUUCGAUCCAUUUGAUGGAGACUCUGAGGAGGAUCUUUCCUUCGUUGUUUGUAAAUCUCCAGCAAAAUGUCCCUCAACACUUUUUCUAUGUUGUAUGGUCGAGAUACCGUGAUCCAUAUACAUAACAAUCAAAGUUCUUAACUACCUUUUGGUUGUCAAAAACUUUUCUGGCUAGAGUGGUUUUUCCCAGUCCUCCCAUUCCAACAAUGGAGACAACUGUGCGAUCUUGAAGUCUUCAAUGCUUUCAAGUUCCUCUUUCAAUUCUGCAAUUUCUUUUGGGACAACCCUAAUCAUAUUGAAUGCUUCCUUCAAGAGUGGAAGCAAAUGAUCAUGGGCUAGCGGAAGCAAGUGAUCACGGGCGCAGGAAAGUGCAGUGUCACACAUUUUGUUGUAUCUUUGAUUUGAAUUUGCUAAUGUUAUGAGUGAGAUGAGUGGUGAGGAGAAUGCUAUUAAUCCUUCAAGAUUAAAUAGCGUAAAGUCUAGCAAUGAGUCAUGAGUAAUCAUAUCUUAUGUCAUUUUUUUCUGUCAAAAUUUUGUCAUUAUAGCGCAAAGUCUAGCAAUGAAUCAUGAGUAAUCUUAUCAUGUCAUUUUUUUCUUUUAAAAUUUUGUCGUACAAGAGCAAAUUGAUCAUAUCAUUCAAUUAGUGGUAAUUAGCUGUUUAAGGAUAUAACACUAUUAUAUCCUUAAUUGAAUAUAACACUAUUAAGGAUAUAACACUAUUUUUUCUUUUAACACCAACAAUAUAACAUUAUUAUAAUAAAAUUUAUUUAAGGAUAUAAUUGAAUUUAAUAUUGUUCCUAUUGUAGUGAGUAUUUUAAUCAAAUUUAUCUUAUUUUUUAAUUAAUUUAAAUAUUGUUAUAUAAAUAAAGGCAUAAGUUAAGAAAUCAAAUUGUAACAAAAAAAAGUUAAGCAGUCAAAGGUAGAAAAAAUUGUAUUUUUAGUCCCUUAACUAUUUAGGUAGUAUCGUUUUGGUUCUUUAAUUAAAAUUUGAUUUAUUUUGGUCCCUUAACUUUUCUGUGUUACACAUUUUGGUCCUUUCCGUUAAUUUUAAUUCAAAAGAGGGAGUAAAAGUAAAAUUGAAUUUAUUUGCUAACAAUUGUCUAUUCUGCAAAAUUUUCAAAACAAAUGUCUAUUGGUAUGCAAUUAACAAAAGAGCUUCAAACUAGCUUCACUGUUUAUGUUUCAUUUCUUUAAUUCUCUAACUGUGGAUUAGCAGAGUUAAUUUGAAGGGAGGUUAGUGUAUUUUUUAAUUUUCUGGUUUCAGGAUGUUUGUGUAUUUUAACAACUGGUCAAUGCAAUAAUAAUAAUAAUAAUGGAUAGUUUUUUUCAAUGGCAAAGUUAUCAUCAUAUAUAGAAAAUAGUAGAAAGAUCAGUACUCUAAUUCAAUACAAACAACAACCAAACCUCUAGAGGAAGAAAGGCUGGUAGAAGAAGAAAAGUUCACAGUUCACACAACAUAUAUUAUACAAUCAUAAACAACUCAAUUUUCUUGAAUAAACUCACAAAUAGCUAUAUAUAUAACGCAUUUAUUUAUAUAACACAUUUAUUUUUAUUGAGGAAGGGAAGUGCCAAAUCAAAAACAGAAAGAAGCAAUGUUGAAUCUCAAAUCCACCGACGGUCAUCACCUGCAGUUCACACCAAAAUUAUUAAUAUAUAUAAAACACAAUAAUGGAAUGAUUAGACAAUUGAAUGCAAGGAUUAAUAUAAGAAUUGGAAAUAGUAACAGGAGGCAAUAGUCGAGAAUUUGUUUUUUUGGCAAGAUGUCGAGAAAUUAUUUUAUUCCUAAAAAUAACGUAAUGCUUGUAUUUUGAUGACUAAACUAAGGUUCUCAAAAUCGGAACUUUACAUCAGGUCGAAAUGGAAUAGCAAAAUCGGGACUCGUAAAAUCGCAAUCAAAAUCAAAAGAUUUUAUUCAAGGACUUUUGUAAAAUCGAUAAAAUUGUAAAACCGCAAACAAAAUCGAUGGAUUUUACCAAAAAAUAAUAAUAAUAAAUAUAUGUUAUAAAUGGUAAAUGACUUAGUUUAUAAGAAAUCGUAAAAUCGCAAUCAAAAUUCAUGGAUUUUGCUUAUUUUAGGAUUCUACUAUGAAUUCAAAUUGUUGAAGCUGAAAAAAAAUCUUAAAAUCCUGAAUUUUAGGAUUUAAGUCGGAAUUUUGAUAACAAUGGACUAAACAAUAAAUAUUACCAAAAAAAAAAUUUCUUCAAAUUGUUGGGAAGCGAAAGCGUACCUUUCCAUUACAUAGUUUCUAUAGAGAACAAUUGCUCUUCUCCAUCAUCAAUGCUCUGUAUAAGUCCAUCACUCGCAUAAAAAACACUGAGAACUUCAAGCUUGUGUAAGUGUUGAAUGCCAGUUGGUAAAGUCAUCAGUUGGAAGAUGGCGUCAAAAGUGAGCUUUUUCAGAGAACCCAAUGCACCUUCGUCAAUUAGGAUGUGACUCAAAUUGAAGAAAUUAGCAAGAUAUAGUUCCUUCAAGUUCUUAAACCAUCCAUCUUGGAAAUGUAAACUUUCCACUUCAUAAUUUCCUUCCUCAAAGAAUUCGAGGGACAACAAAUUUGGCAUACUUUGGAGUAAUUUCAUUGCAUCAUUCACUUCCCUCGUAAGGCUUACAUUCAGCUUGACAAGAUUUUGGAGUUUUGAAAUCCACUCAGGCAACUUAUUUAAUUUAAGGUCUUGAAGUUUAACACGUUGAAGCAUAGGUGGGGGUGAAUUCAAAUCAAGAUCAAUGAAUGCGCCAUAUCCCAUUCCGAUUCCGACUCCUUUAAUACUUAGUUUCUCCAAUUUUUGCAUCUCAUUGAUUGAGGAAGAUAUACCACUCAUAUAUUUACUCUUAAGACCGCUCAAGCUCAAUUCCCUAAGCUGCUUUAGUUUUCCCAGCUCUUCUAUUAACUCUACAACUCUAUUAUCAUUUUCAUCUUCAUAAUCAUCUAAAUAAACACUAUUUAGAGUUUGUAGCGAUGUCAUGCCUCCAAUACCAUCCUUCAACUGAAUCAAAGACAUAAAGUUGCCUAAUAAAUGGCGUAGCUUUCUAAGCUUGCAAAUCUCCUUCGGCAUAUUAGGAUGUUCAAAUUUUGGAGAUCUUAAAUCCAAAGUCUCUAGGUUCACGAGCAUGCCAAUGGAUUUUGGAAUUUUUGGAAAUAUAGGAUAUGUUUCUCCAAUCACAAAGAACCCAAAAUAUUUCAAGUGGUUCAAACUUCCCAAAUCCUUAGGAACUUCAAGCCGUUCACGGUUGCUCAAAGCAAGCACCUUCAACCGCCUAUAUUUUGUAGGGAUCGUCUUUACAAAGGAUUCAAGUGAUCUUUGAGGUUCGAAAACAAGCAAUGAUCGAACAUGUGAGCUUUCAAUACCUUCCAUUCGAUUAUCAUAAUUGGGUGCUAUUGAUAGGCGUCGAAUCAUUCCAGUUAAAGACAAUUGUUUGCCCUCAGUAAUAUUCUCGCAAAAGCUUAAAUGCUUAUGUUUUUCAAGGAUCAUUUCAUGCACUAGAUCAUGAACACGACAACGUUUUACUCUUCCAUCAAUACUGAUUGAAUCUACUUGCACCAAACUUCUAUGUAUUAACUCUUUUAAAUAUCCUUCUGCAACCUCUUCCAUCGUUCUUUCCCCAUAUUGUUUCACAAACCCUUCAGCAAUCCAUUGUCGAGUCAAUGUCUUUGAAUGAACUUUAUAGUCUUCAGGAUAUAAUCCAAAAUACAAGAAACAUGACUUGAGGUAGUAAGGCAAAUCAUGGUAACUAAAUCCUAAAAUUUUUCUUAUUAUGGAAUAUUCCUCUAACUCUGCAUUUAUAUUUUCACUAAACUUAUACCAUUCCAUUGGAAUUUUAUCUUUGGGAGCUAAAAUACCACCAAUGACUACAAUUGCUAGUGGUAAUCCUUUGCAUUUUUUAACAAUUUUGGAAGAUAUAUCAAUAAGAUUUUCUGGACAACGUCCAUUUAAGUCAUGGAAUGCCUUCUUAUUGAACAACUCAAAAGAUUGUUCUACAGUCAAACCUUUUAGUUCAUACACUUCAACAAAAGAAGAUUUCUUACAAGUAUUCGCAACAUCCAUGUUUCUUGUAGUGAUUAAUAUCCUAGAACCCUUUUUGUUAUCAAUCAUAGCAAAUUCAAUAUCAUGCAAAAAAUGUGACUCCCAUACAUCAUCAAACACUACAACAUACCUUUUUUCUUGCAAGUAGUUUCUCACUUCAUCAACUAAUGACUGUCGAUCCAUUUGACGGAGACUCUGAGGAGGAACUUUCCUUUGUUGUUUGUAAAACUCGAGCAUAAUGUCCCUCAACACUUUUUCUGUAUUGUAUGGUCGAGACACCGUAAUCCAUACACGACGAUCAAAGUGUUUUACGACCUUUGGGUUGUCAAAAACUUUCUUCGCUAGAGUGGUUUUUCCCAGUCCUCCCAUUCCAACAAUGGAGACAAUUGUCCGGUCUGCUCUUCCUGCUACCAAAAAAUCAAUCAAUUUGUCUCUUGUCUUAUCAAAUCCUACAACAUCAGCUUCAACCAUGUAAAGUGGAGCGUCUCGAAGGUUCUGAAAUAAUGAGGCGUUUCUGUUUGUUGCAUAACUAGUUGAUGCUUUAUCCGAAGAAGAUUGGAUAUAGAAGCCAUGAUCUUUUUCAGUUCUUGUAUCAUUUAUUUCACUUAUUCGGGAUUUGAUGUUCUGAAUCUUGUAAGCUAUUUGGAGACGGAAAGCCAUAGUUUUGACACAGUUUGUAACACCAGCAGCACAUCCAGGAUCAGGAGCAUGUUGUUCCUCAAGAAAGAUAUAAUCAUCAAUGACAUCUUCUAUGUGAAAAGAUGCUUCUAUCAGCUGCUUGAUCAUGUCUUUGAUUUUCUUGUCUUCUACAUCAUCAGCCCUUUUAUCCGCAUCGUUGAUGAAGACUUCUAUUCUUUCUAGUUCCUCUUGCAAUUCUUCAAUUUCUUUUGGGACACCCCUAAUCAUGUUGAAUGCUUCCUUCAAGAAUGGAAGCAAAUGAUCACGGGCUAGUGGAAGCAAAUGAUCACGAGCGCAGGCAAGUGCAUCUUUACAGUCACACAUUUUGUUGUAUAUUUGAUUUCAAUUUGCUAAUAUUGUGAGUGAGAUUGAACUGUGAGGAAAAAGCUCAUAGUCCUUCAAGAUUAUAUAGCAUAAAGAUCAUUGACUUCGAGUUUUCCUCUCUAUCAUUGUCAAAUAUUUUAUUGAGUAACUUGACAGCAUAAAUAUCAAAUGGUGAGUUCUUAGUUAAACAAAACAUGUCGAUGUUAGCUGUACCAACACAUUUUUAUAUUCGGAAUAGAUAAGACUUUGUUAACUCAGGUUAAAGAUUGUUUCAACCAUGGUUUAAGUUUAAUUCUUUCUCCCAAUUGAUUCAACUGUCACUAGUUAAAGAGAAGACUAACUUUGUUAAUUAGAGUUAAUACUCUCAAUCAACUAAACCUAGAUCCGUGGCUGAUUAGCUGUACCAUUUUGAAAAAAUAAGGGUUAAAAAUAUAUAUUUGUCCUUAUAAAUAUUCUAAUUUCACUACGAUAAAAGUUCUAAACAAUAAUGGAAUUCAGAGAUAGGAUAUAAUUUGUCAUCAACUGAGACAGAAUAUUACAAUUACAAUUUGAGACAGUAGAAUUUGAUAUUCUAAAAUUAGAGACGAAAAUUAAACACCGAAAUGUCCAUCACAAGUGUUUUCCAUCUCUAAGUCUUUCUUUGACCAACCAAAAAUAAUAUUUUUUUUAAAAAAAUAAAUGCAUGUAGAGUGAUGACAUGUUGUCAUUACGUAAUUUUUUAGACUUAUUUUGACAUUUUGAUAGAGUUUUGCGGCAACAUGAGGUAUCCAGGGUUGUGAAAAGCAGAAAAUCAGGAAGUCUAGGAAACAAGGAAUCGUGUCACGAUUUUCUGUGUCAUGACGUGAUUUUUGGUCCAGAAUGAAGGAUAGGUUAUGCGAUAAAAAUCGUGGUACGAUUUUUGGUGGCGUGACACGAUUUUACAGAAGGAUCUCGAAGGAAUCUAGGGUUAAGUAAGAAAUCGUGUCACAAUUUUCAUAGUCGUGGCGCGAUUUUCAAGUCAGUAAAAAAAAAUCCUAUUUAAGCUGAAACCAGUUCGUGAAACAAGGGUUACAAUUUUUAGAUAGAAAAGUGAGAUUUUGAGACCUAAAGACUACAAGGAGUGCGAUUUCAUUAUCUCUUUAUCAAUUCAUGUAUGUUUUAAUUCUUCCAUUGUUUAUGCUAUUUGUAUACUCAAUUAUGAGUAGCUAAAUCUCUUAGAGAUUAGGUCUGAGAUGAUUAUGUGUAACCCUAAUUUAAACAUGUUGAUGUGAAACUCAAUUUCUUGUGAAUAUCAAUCUAUUUAUAUUCAAUUCAAUUGUUCUUAAUGUUUUUUAUAUACUGAUCAUAUAUAAACAUGAAUUCGUACGAUUUUAUAUAUGUUGAUUGUCUUUCGUUGCAAAUUUUUAUGAAAACCAAGUUAUGUACAUUUUGAAAUAAUGUAGAAGUAGCAUCUAAAACUCUUAAAUUAUUGAAUUUAUUGCAUGCUUGUUGCUUUCAGAGUUUAAGUGUUACAACAUGUAUGACACGAUUGAUAUAAUUUGUUUCAGAGAAGUUUAGUUUGUUUACAGUUAUGACCAUAUAUAAAUUUUACACUCCGCUAAUUCAAGUGAUAAAAAAAUGUAAGAACCGAAACAAACAAUAAUAUAGAACAAAAUACAACAGAAAAGAGUACAAACAUGAAAAAUACGAUAAAAACAAAAUACAAAGAAAAGGAUUUGAGCUCCCAUGAUAAGUAAAAACUACAAACAAAUAAAAUUUCUUUUUAUUACAAUCAUUGAAAGGAAAGAUCUCAGAACAUAUAUCAUCAUAAAUCAUAAACAACACAAUUUUCUUGAAUAAAAUAACAAAGUAGGUAUAAUAACAAUGAAACACAUUCUUUCUUACUGGGGAAGGGAAGUGCCAAAAGAAGCAAUGCAGAUAUAAAAGUCCACUUGAAGAAAUGUGAAUCUCAAAUUCACUAAUGGCCAUCACCUACAGUUCACACCAAAUUAUUAAUAUAUGUUGACUAAUUGACCUAUAAAACUUUUCUGAAUACUUUAUUGUUUAUGUUACUUUAUUGCUUAUGUGUGUAAUUAUUUUAACUUGUUUUGUUAGUAAAGCUAUGCUGCACAAGUAAGGUUAUCUGCACAAGUUAAGUAGGUUUAUGUCAUAUGACAUCAGCUAAGCAUAGGCUGAGUCAUUACUAAGUAUUUGGCUAUAAGUAUGUAAGAAGGAUGUAUGGAUGGUAUGUAUCAAAUUUGCAGCAUAGUAAACAUUGUUAUUGUCCCUUUCUCUUCCAUUUCUUUUCUUCUCUAAUUUCUGUUUUCUGUUUUUGAGCUUAUUGCUUCUGCUGCCAUUACAAAAGCUAACAGUGGUAUACAGAGCAGUGUUCUUAGAGGCUGUGAGAAAAAGAAAAACACAUACCCAGAAAACUUGUUAGAAAUCAAAUGGCUUAUGGUAGUAAUGCUGUAAUUACUGUCCCUCAAUUUUAUGGGGAAAGUUAUCACAUAUGGGUUGUCAAAAUGAAAUCAUGUUUGAAGUCUUUUGGCUUAUGGGAUUAUGUAGACGAAGACAAGCAGGUUCCACCACUGCAAGCUAAUCCCACAGUAGCUCAAAUGAAACACCGUGAGGAGGAGAAAUUGAAGAAGGAGAAAGCGAUUUCAGUUCUGCAUUCAGCUUUGGCAGAUGAUGUGUUUACGGGAAUCAUGCAUCUCAAAACAGCCAAGCAAAUAUGGGAUGAGCUGGAUGAAAGGUAUGCUGGUGAUGAAAGGGUAAGAUCCAUAAAGUUAUUGACUCUUAAAAGGGAGUUUGAAAGGCUAAAAAUGAAGGAACAUGAAUCUGUCAAAGAAUACACCUCAAAACUAUCUCACUUGGUGAAUCAAAUGAGACUUCAUGGUGAGGUUGUAGAUGACAGCAAAGUAGUGGAAAAGAUGUUGAUCAGCUUACCCGACAAAUUUGAAGCCAAAGUUGCUGCUAUUGAAGAGUCAUGUGAUCUUAAGAAACUAACUGUUUCUGAGAUGGUCAGCAAAUUGACAGCUCAUGAACAAAGAUUCUCUAUGAGAAUGGAUGAUGUUUUUCAGGCCAAACACAAGCAGUUUGGAGUUGGACAGAAGAAAAAGAACUACAAACAUGGUGGUGAUCAAAAAGGAAAGAACAAAGAUGAUGGUAGUUCAAGUGAAUCUGCAGCAAAGGACAAGUUCCCUCCUUGUCUAACUUGUAAAAGAACAAAUCACUUGACAAAAGAUUGCUUUUAUAAGGGAAAGCCCCAAAUUAAAUGCAAUCACUGUAAUCGAUGGGGUCAUAAAGAGAAGUUUUGUCGAUUAAAACAAAACCAAUCUCAACCACAACAUGCACAUCAGGUUAACUUCACUGAUGAACAAGCCCAUGAAGAUCACUUGUUUAUGGCCACUCAUACAUGUAGCUCUUCUUCUAAAGAUGUAUGGUAUGUUGAUAGUGGGUGCACAAUCCACAUGGCAAAUGAACCAAGUCUCUUCACCUCUUUGGACAAAGCUGUACGAACCAAAGUGAAGAUUGGAAAUGGAAAAUAUGUGCAGGCCAAAGGAAAAGGUAUUGUUUCUGUUCACACUAGCAAAGGUCCAAAAUAUAUCCAUGAUGUUUUGUUGAUUCCAGAUCUGAGUCAAAAUUUGCUAAGUGUUGCUCAGUUAUUGAAGAAAGGAUAUUCAAUUUCCUUUAAAAAUAAUGUUUGUGUCAUAAUGGAUUCAACUGAUUAUGAAGUUGUGAAGGUUGAAAUGUGUGGAAAUAGUUUUCCAUUAAGUUUGAAUCAAGUGAAUCAAACAGCACUUGUUUCCAAACAUGAUGAUUCUGCACUAUGGCACAAAAGAUAUGGUCAUUUUAAUUUUAAUGCAUUAAAAUUUCAGCAAUCUCAUGAUAUGGUGAGAGACAUGCCAGAAAUUAAUUGUAUUAAUGAUUUAUGUGAUGUUUGUCAACUUGGAAAAAUGCAUAGAAAGUCCUUUCAGUCAACAAAUGUUACACGAGCAAAGGAAAAAUUGGAGCUUGUUCAUACCGACUUGUGUGGUCCUAUGAGUGUGCCCUCUCUUAGCCACAACAAGUACUUUCUAUUGUUUAUUGAUGAUCUGACUAGGAUGACAUGGGUGUAUUUUCUGACAAGUAAAGCUCAAACUUUUAAUGUCUUCAAAAAGUUUAGAGCUAUGGUGGAAUCUCAAAGUGGCUGCAAAAUCAAAGCUUUGAGAUCUGACAACGGAAAGGAGUAUACUUCCAAUGAAUUUAAUUUGUUUUGUGAAGAUAUGGGCAUUGUACAUCAGCUGACAGUGAGCUACACACCUCAGCAAAAUGGAGUUUCUGAGAGGAAAAACAGAACAGUUAUGGAGAUGGCAAGAUGUUUGAUUGCUGAAAAGCAAUUACCAAAAAGCUUUUGGGCUGAAGCUGUUUAUACAGCAGUGUAUCUCUUGAAUAGGCUGCCAACAAGGGCUGUUCAAGGGAAAACACCAAUUGAGGCAUGGAUAGGUGUGAAGCCUUCUGCCAAACAUUUGAAGAUCUUUGGAUCAAUAUGUUAUGUUCAUGUUGUAGCAGCAAAAAGAUCCAAAUUGGAUGACAAAGCUGAAAUGGGGAUUUUUUUGGGUUAUGUAGCAAGCUCCAAAGGUUAUAGAGUGUACAACUUGAAGACAAAACAAAUUGUGAUAAGAAGAGACAUUGAUGUUGAUGAAAAUGUAUAUUGGGAUUGGGAAAAUGAUGAGGUUCAAAGAAGUACAAAAUCUGCUGAAAGUGCUCAUGACAAACAAGAGCACACAACAAAUGAAGAUGAAAAUCAGAUAGCUGAAUCUGAUUCCCCAAUUCUAAAGAGCAAAUCUCUGGCUGAAGUUUAUGAAAAUUGCAAUUUUGUUGUGAAUGAACCUUCUAGUUUUGAAGAAGCUUCAUUGAUAACAGAAUGGAAAGAUGCAAUGAAGGAGGAGCUGCUGGCCAUUAAUAAAAAUGGCACAUGGGAACUCACUCAAAGACCUAAAGAUAAAAAUGUGAUAGGAGUUAAAUGGGUUUACAGAACCAAGUUAAAUCCUGAUGGAUCCAUUCACAAACACAAAACAAGGCUUGUUGUGAAAGGAUAUUCUCAAAUGGCUAGAAUUGAUUAUGGUGAUACAUUUGCACCGGUUGCUAGGCAUGAAACAAUUCGGUUGAUUGUUGCUCUAUCAGCACAAUGUGGACGGGAGAUCUUUCAUUUGGAUGUCAAAUCGGCAUUCUUAAAUGGAAUCCUGGAGGAGGAAAUUUAUGUUGAACAACCUGCUGAUUUUAUUGUUGCAGAUCAUGAAGACAGUGUUUAUAGGCUUCACAAAGCCUUGUAUGGGCUGAAACAGGCGCCUAGAGCCUGGUACAGCAGAAUUGACUCACAUUUUCUGCAAAAUGAUUUCAGGAGGAGUCAAAAUGAGCCUACACUUUAUGUUAAAGAUUGUGGCAAUGGGAAGAGGAUUAUAGUUUCUCUUUAUGUUGAUGACUUGUUGAUUACCGGUAAUGACAUUGAUGAGAUUAACAAGUUUAAGAAGAGCAUGUUGCAGGUCUUUGAAAUGACGGAUCUGGGAUUGAUGAAGUAUUUUUUGGGAAUGGAAUUGCAUCAACUUGAUGAUGGAAUAUUUCUUUCACAAAAGAAAUAUGCUAAUGAUGUGCUGAAAAAAUUCAAAUUGGAGAGUUGUAAAUCUGUUUCAACACCUCUUGCUGUAAAUGAAAAACUCUCAAAAUCUGAUGGAGAUGCUAAGGCAGAUGUUACUCAAUAUAGGAGUUUGAUUGGUUGUCUUCUUUACUUGACUGCAACUAGACCAGAUUUGAUGUUCUCUGCUAGUUUGCUUUCAAGGUUCAUGCAUUCACCAAGUGUAACACACUUAGGUGUGGGCAAAAGAGUGUUGAGGUACAUAAGAGGUACUACUGAUUUUGGUAUUUGGUACAACAAAGGUGAUGGUAAGAUUGAAGGCUUUGUUGAUAGUGAUUGGGCUGGAUCUGUUGAUGAUUCUAAAAGCACAAGUGGUUAUGUUUUUUCACUUGGUAGUGGUGUAUUUUCAUGGAAUUCCAAAAAACAAGAUGUGGUUGCUCAAUCCUCAGCUGAAGCUGAGUAUAUUGCUGCUGCAGCUGCAUCAAAUCAAGCUAUUUGGAUAAAAAAGGUAUUGAGUGAUCUGAAUCAUGUACAAGAGGAACCAAUUGUGCUAUGGUGUGACAACAAAUCAGCUAUAGCAAUUGCCAAAAAUCCAAUUCAACAUGGAAGAACAAAGCAUAUCAAUGUCAAAUUUCAUGCUAUAAGAGAAGCUGAACAGAAUGGAGAUGUAAAAUUGCAGCACUGCAGUUCUGAAGAACAAUUGGCAGACAUUUUAACAAAAGCACUUCCUAGUGCCAAGUUCAUGGAGCUAAGAAGCAAGCUGGGAGUAUUCCAGAUAAGUUUUAAGGAGGAGUGUUGACUAAUUGACCUAUAAAACUUUUCUGAAUACUUUAUUGUUUAUGUUACUUUAUUGCUUAUGUGUGUAAUUAUUUUAACUUGUUUUGUUAGUAAAACUAUGCUGCAUAAGUAAGGUUAUCUGCACAAGUUAAGUAGGUUUAUGUCAUAUGACAUCAACUAAGCAUAGGCUGAGUCAUUACUAAGUAUUUGGCUAUAAGUAUGUAAGAAGGAUGUAUGGAUGAUAUGUAUCAAAUUUGCAGUAUAGUAAACAUUGUUAUUGUCCCUUUCUCUUCCAUUUCUUUUCUUCUCUAAUUUCUGUUUUCUGUUUUUGAGCUUAUUGCUUCUGCUGCCAUUACAAAAGCUAAUAAUAUAAAACUCAAUAAUGCAAUUAUGCAACGAUUAGACAAUUUAAUGUAAGGAUACCAUUAAAAAAACGCUUAAUAUAAGGAUUGGAAGAAUAAAAAAAAAGGUAACCCUUGAAGAUCUAGAUUAAAGCCCAAAAAAAGUUAUUCAUAAGAAAAGUAAGAGAAGAAAAGUUGAGAAUUUGUUAUUUUGACUUAGAUGUCGUGAAAUUAUGUCAUCGUGAACUUAGUUCAGUUGAUAAAGAUAAUGUAUAAUAUAUGCAAGUUCCAAGAUUCAAACAUUGAUCACCAAAAAAAAAAGAUGUGGUGAAAUUAUUUUACUAAAAAUUACCUAAAGCUUGUAUUUAGAUGACAAAACAGUAAAUAUUAUCACAACUUUUUUUUCCUUCAAAUUGUAGGGAAGCGAAAGCGUACCUUUAUCUCUCAAUUAGUCAAUUUCUACAAAGGGCACUUGCUUGAAGAUCCAAUGCUCUUUUCCUUUAUCAGGAGCAAUGCUCUGUAUAAGUUCCACACUCAUAUCAGCAAGCCAGAGAACUUCAAGCUUUUGUAAGUGUUGAAUGCCAGUUGGUAAACUCGUCAGUUGGGGGUUGCCGUAUAAAGUGAGUUUUUUCAGAGAACUCAACGCACCUUCGUCAAUAAGGAUGUGACUCAAGUUAUUGAAAUGAUCAAUCGACAGUUCCUUUAAAUUCUUAAAUCCAACUUGAAAAUGUAACCUUUCCAAUUUGUCUUCAUAAUUACCACCAGAGAUAUGGAGGGACAACAAGUUUGGCAUACUUUGGAGUAAUUUCAUUGCAUCGUUCCCUUCCUCCUUCGUAAGUCUCACCUUCAUGUCAACAAGGUUUGUGAGUUUUGGAAUCCACUCAGGAAACUUCUUUAAAUUCCCGUAGAGUCCAAUAUGUUGAAGCAUAGGUGGGGGUGAAUUCAAAUCCAGAUCAAUGAAUGUCUCAUAUUCGACUCCACUAAUAUUUAGUUUCUCCAGUUGUUGCAUCUUAUUGAUUGAAGAAGAUAUAGCACUCAUAUAUUUACUCCUAACACCGGCCAAGCCCAAUUCCCUUAGCUGCUUUAGUUUUCCUAGCUCUUCAAUUAGCUCUACGACUCUAUUAUCAUUUUCAUCUUCAUGAUCAUAUAAAUAAACCUCAUUUAGAGUUUGUAGGGAUGUCAUGCCUCCAAUACCAUCCUUCAACUCAAUCAAAGACAUACGAUAGCCUAAAAAAUGGCGUAGCUUUCUAAGCUUGCAAAUCUCCUUCGGCAUAUUACGAUUUUUAAACUCUGUUUCUCUUAAAUCCAAAGUCUCUAGGUUCACAAGCAUGCCAAUGGAUUUUGGAAGUUCAGAAUUUCUUUCUCCAUUCCCCCUGAACCAAAAAUAUUUCAAGUGGUUCAAACUUCCUAAAUCAUGAGGAAUUUCAUGUUGGUUUGAGCUUAAAGUAAGCACCUUCAACCACCUAUAUUUUGUAGGGAUCGUCCUUACAAAGGAUUUAAGUAAUGUUUUAGGUUCGAGAACUAGCAGCGAUCGAACAUGUGAGCUUUCAAUACCUUCCAUUAGAUUAUCAGAACUUGAUGCUAUUGAUAGGCGUCGAAUCAUUCCAGUUGAAGGCAAUUGUCUGUCCUCGGUAAUACUCUUGCAAAAGCUUAAAUCCUCAUGUUUAUUAAGGAUCAUUGCAUGCACUAGAUCAUGAACACGGCAACUGUCUACUCUUCCAUCAAUAGUGAUCCCAUCUACUCGCACCAAACUUCUACGGAUCAACUCUAUUAAAUGUCCUUCUGCAACCUCUUCCAAUGUCAUUCCCCUUUCUUCUUUCACAAACCCUUCAGCAAUCCAUUGACGAGUCAAUAUAUUUGAACGAACAUUUGAGUCUUCAGGAUAUAAUCCAAAGUACAAGAAACAUGACUUGAGGUUGCAAGGCAAAUCAUGGUAACUAAGUCCUAGAAUUUUUUUUAUCAUGGAAUAUUCCUUUGACUGAUCUGCAUUUAUAUUUUCACUAAACUUAGACCAUUCAAUUGGAUUCCUAUCUUUGCAAGCUAAAAUACCACCAAUGACUACAAUUGCGAGUGGUAAUCCAUUGCAUUUUUCAACAAUUUUGGAAGAUAUAUCAAUAAGAUUUUCUGGACAAUAUCCGCUCAAGUCAUGGAACGCCUUCUUAUUGAACAAUUCUAAAGAUUUUUCUUCACUUAAACCUUCAAGUUUAUGCACUUCAACAAAAGAAGAUUUCUUACAAGCAUCUGCAACAUCCUCGUUUCUUGUUGUGAUUAAUAUCUUACAACCAUUUUUGUUAUCAAUCAUAGAAAAUUCAAUAUCAUUCCAAAAAUGUGAGUCCCAUACAUCAUCAAACACUACAACGUACCUUUUUCCUUGCAAGUAGUUUCUCACUUCAUCAACUAAUAACUUUCCAUCCAUUUGAUGAAGACUUUGAGGAGGACAUUUCCCUUGUUGCAGUAUGUCCUUCAGCAAUUUUUCUUUAUUAUAUGGUCGAGAAACCGUGAUCCAUAAACGACAAUCAAAGUGUUUAACGACCUUUUGGUUGUCAAAAACUUUCUUGGCUAGAGUGGUUUUUCCCAGUCCUCCCAUUCCAACAAUGGAGACAACUGUGCGGUGUGCUCUUCCCUCUACCAACAAAUCAAUCAAUUUGUCUCUUGACACAUCAAAUCCUACCGCAUCAGCAUCAUCCAUGUAAAGUGGAGCAUCUCGAAGGUUCUGAAAUAAUGAGGCAUUUCUGUUUGUUGCAGAACUACUUGAUGCUUUAUCCAAAGAAGAUUGGAUGUCGAAGUCAUGAUCCUUUUCACUUGUUUCUUUUAUUUCCCUAAUUUGGGAAUUGAUGUUCUGAAUCUUAUAAGCAAUUUGGAGACGUAGUUUUGUAGUUUUGAGCAAGUCAACAGCAGCAGCACAUCCAGGUUCAGAAGAUUGAUGUUCCUCAAGGAAGAUAUAAUCAUCAAUGACAUCUUCUAUGUGAAAAGAUGUUUCUAUCAGCUGCUUCGUCAUGUCUUUGAUUUUCUUGUCUUCUACAUCAUCAGAUCUUCUAUCCGCAUCGUUGAUGAAGUCUUCAAUGCUUUCAAGUUCAUCUUUCAAUUCUGCAAUUUCUUUUGGGACACCCCUAAUCAUGUUGAAUGCUUCCUUCAAGAGUGGAAGCAAAUGAUCACGGGCUAGUGGAAGCAAGUUAUCACGAGCGCAGGCAAGUGCAGCUUUACAGUCACACAUUUUGUUGUAUAUUUGAUUUCAAUUUGCUAAUUGUGAGUGAGAUUGAAUGGUGAGGAAAAAGCUCAUAGUCCUUCAAGAUUAUAUAGCAUAAAGAUCAUUGACUUCGAGUCUUCCUCUCUAUCAUUGUCAAAUAUUUUAUUGAGUAACUUGACAGCAUAAAUAUCAAAUGGUGAGUUCUUAGUUAAACAAAACAUGUCGAUGUUAGCUGUACCAACACAUUUUUAUAUUCGGAAUAGAUAAGACUUUGUUAACUCAGGUUAAAGAUUGUUUCAACCAUGGUUUAAGUUUAAUUCUUUCUCCCAAUUGAUUCAACUGUCACUAGUUAAAGAAAAGACUAACUUUGUUAAUUAGAGUUAAUACUCUCAAUCAACUAAACCUAGAUCCGUGGCUGAUUAGCUGUACCAUUUUGAAAAAAUAAGGGUUAAAAAUAUAUAUUUGUCCUUAUAAAUAUUCUAAUUUCACUACGAUAAAAGUUCUAAACAAUAAUGGAAUUCAGAGAUCGGAUAUAAUUUGUCAUCAGCUGAGACGGAAUAUUACAAUUACAAUUUGGGACAGUAGAAUUUGAUAUUCUAAAAUUAGAGACGAAAAUUAAACACCGAAAUGUCCAUCACAAGUGUUUUCCAUCUCUAAGUCUUUCUUUGACCAACCAAAAAUAAUAUUAUUUUUUAAAAAAAAUAAAUGCAUGUAGAGUGAUGACAUGUUGUCAUUACGUAAUUUUUUAGGACUUAUUUUGACAUUUUGAUAGAGUUUUGCGGCAACAUGAGGUAUCCAGGGUUGUGAAAAGCAAAAAAUCAGGAUGUCCAAGAAACAAGGAAUUGUGUCACGAUUUUAUGUGUCGUUACGCGAUUUUUGGUCCAUAAUGAAGGAUAGGUUAUGCUAUUAAAAUCGUGGUACGAUUUCUGGUGGCAUGACACGAUUUUACAGAAAGAUCUCGAAGGAAUCUAGGGUUAAGUAAGAAAUCGUGUCACGAUUUUCAUAGUCGUUGCGCGAUUUUCAAGUCAGUAAAAAAUUCCUAUUUAAGCUGAAACCAGUUCCUGAAACAAGGGUUACGAUUUUUAGAUAGAAAAGUGCGAUUUUGAGACCUAAAGACUGCAUGGAGUGCGAUUUCAUCAUCUCUUUAUCAAUUCAUAUAUGUUUUAAUUCUUCCAUUGAUUAUACUAUUUGUAUACUCCAUUAUGAGUAGCAAAAUCUCUUAGAGAUUAGGUCUGAGAUGAUUAUGUGUAACCCUAAUUUAAACAUGUUGUUGUGAAACUCAAUUUCUCGUGAAUAUCAAUCUAUUUAUAUUCAAUUCAAUUGUUCUUAAUGUUUUUUGUAUAAUGAUCACAUAUAAACAUGAAUUCGUAAAAUUUAUAUAAUGUAGAAGUAGCAUCUAAAACUCUUAAUUAUUGUAUUUAUUGCAUGGUUAUUGCUUUCGGAGUUUAGAGUGUUACAACAUGUAUGACACGAUUCUGUAAAAAAAAAAAACAUGUAUGACACGAUUAAUAUAAUUUGUUUCGGAGAGUUUAGUUUGUCUACAGUUAUGACCAUAUAUAAAUUUUACACUCCGCUAAUUCAAGUGAUAAAAAAAUGUAAGAACCGAAACAAACAAUAAUACGGAACAAAAUACAACAGAAAAUAGUACAAACAUGAAAAAUACGAUAAGAUCAAAAUACAUUUAAUUACACUUUUGGUCCUCGCAUUUUGACCAACUCACGAAAAUGGUCCUACCUUUUUUAAACCAAACAAAAUCGUCCCUAAACUAUAUGUUUUUUUGCAGUUUUAGUCCUAUCUCCUUAUCUCCAACUCCAGAAACGCACAGAAAUAACAGUUUUAGUUCAAUCGCUUAUGUUCAACCAUAAAAUAAACAAGGAAUAAAUCAUGUUGGUACAAGGAAUCUACUUUGUUCAGCAUACAAACAAAAAUAAAACCUUAUUUUUUAAGACAUGUUUCAGGUAUAUAACAUCCAGGAUCACAAGACUCAUGGAAGAUAUAUUCAUCAAUGACAUCUUCUAUGUAAAAAGAUAUUUCUUUCAGCUCUUUUGAUUUUGUUUUUGUCUUCAACAGCAUCAUCUGCGAUUUUUAUCUUCUUUGUUGAUGAUAUCUUUAAUACUUUCUAGUUUCUCUUUCAGUUCUGCAAUUUCUUUUGGGAUAGCGCUAAUCAUGUCAACUGUUUUAUUUAAGAAUGGAAAGAAAUGAUCACGAGCGAAGGAAAGUACAGUGUCACACAUUUUGUUGUAUCUUCGAUUUGAAUUUGCUAAUAUUUUAAGGAGAAAUGAUAUUUGAACAUCCAUUUAGUGAUAACUUUUGUAAUAAUUUUCUCUCUCAUACUUACAUUAUUUUUUACUUUAUCUCUCUAUUGCUAUGGUUUCUUUGCCAAUACCAAUUUUUUCUUUGUAGAGUAUGAUUGUCAAAUAAAUUGUCACCAAAUUAGUUGUUCAAAUAACACUCCUCAUUUUAAGUGAGAUGAAUGAUGAGGAAAGCUAUUAGUCCUUCAUGAUUUAUAUAGCAUAAAGUCCAAUGGUGUGAUCCAGAAGUCCUACCUCAACUGGCAAAAUGCCGAAAUUGUUAGGCCGGAUGCCAUGACCGGGGUUCGAACCACAGUCCUCCAUUUGUGUGUGUAAGUUUAUAAUGGCUUUGCCAUUUCGUCUAUCUACCAAAAAAAAAAAAAAAGUCCAAUGGUGUGAACACUUUGAAUUUGAGUUUUCCUCUCGGUCAUUGUUUAAUAAUUAUUGAGUACCUUGACAUCAUUUGUAAUUAUUUUUUAAUUGUCGUACAAGAGCAGGUAGUUUUUUUUUUUGGUAAGGUAAAUUUUAGGGUGAGGGGAUGGUGCCCCAGUCUAAAGCAGGGAAGAUCUUCGGGUUCAAAGAGCACUUACAAAGGUAAUUACAUUUACCUCCCUCCAAAGGCACAAGAGCAAGUAGUUGAUCAUGUGUGAUUUAAUUAGUGGUAAUUAGCUGUACAAUUACCAACUAAUUUAUUGAGUAAGGUUUAUGCUUAUGCGUCACUCUCACAUUCACAUUCACUCUAAGCUAGUUUAUUUUAUCUAGAAAAAAUAUAUAAACAAAUUAUACAUAUUCCUAAACAUUUAAUAUAUUUAUUUUUAUUUUCUUUCAGUUUUUAAGAAAACAAAUUAAAAUAAAGUGCAAAGGAUUCACACGUUAUACCAUAAUAUCUCAAUAAUGUUGGCACCUCUUAAUCGUCACCAAUAAUUUGUAGCACUUUAGAAUUUUUAUUGUUUUAUUAUUUUAUAAUAUAUAUGAAAGAUAGAACCUAGUGAGAUAAAACCUAACAAAGGAAAAAGAGUUCAGAGCAAUCAAAAAAAUCAUAAGAAAAAAGAUCCAAUUAAUAUUGAUAUUAUGAAAGAUGAACUAGAAAGAAUUGAAGUCUUCAUCAACGAUACGGAUGGUUAUAAUUGUAUCAUAUACUUUCUCUCACUAUAUUUUACCUUAUUAAUUAUUUAAAUUAAUUUUGAUCAGUAACCAUACGUUAAGUUAAUUAUCAUAAAUAAAACGAAAGAUUCUUUUUUUUUUUUAAAUUGGUCAAUAUGACAAAACACAAUACAAACCUGCUUUUCUUAUGUUUUUCUUUGGGAAAAGGGGCUGUGUUUGUGUUUUUUUUUUUCCCUCCGUAAGAAAGCAGCUGAGGAUAUACCAAGCAUAUUUUCUUUGAUUGUCCCUCUAAUAAUAUUUUUUUUGGUGACCCUUUCAUAAACUUCUUUGAAAGGGGUUGUGCCCAAGUGAGACAAGCCAUGCACCUAAUUUUCACAAUUUAAACAAUAAACCCCACUAUUAAAUUAACAGCUAUAUGUCCCGAAUAAUGUUUCCGGAAAUUUCACAAGUGUAUAUUUUCUAGUUUUAUAAGCAUUAGUUUUGUAGAAAACAUGUGGGCCAAGGGUGAAUAAUUGUAGGCCAGGGGUGAUAAUCAGCCAAUCAAAAUUAUUCGCAAGCAAUUCUUGAUGGGAUGUUUCGCUUUACAUAGCAUUACUUUUAAAUUAAAUAUGACAUGAUAUGGCUUAUUGAAAAAGACACUUGUACAUGAUGUAAUACCAUUUUACAUGUUAGACACACACAUAUAAUGGAUUAAAUUACACCGAUGCAAUGUUACACCGUUCAAAUAUUGUUUUACUUGAUACAUAUUUGUCAAAUUUGAUCGUUGGAUUGUAAGAUUACUAGUUUUAACACCCGUGCAACGCACGGGGAGAAAAAUGAUUAUAAAUUACACUCAUAUAUAGUUGACAUAAAAUCCUCUAUGCAUAUGGGGUAGGAGUGGUAGGAGUUACAAUAAUUGGUUAAGUUAUACAAUCAACGUUUAAUAGUGGAGUAAUCAUAAUUCUAAAUUUUCAUAUAGAAGGUUAACUUUGUAUCCUUCGAACCAUAGCUCAAGACCACGUACAGGCUUACAGACUAUCAAAAUAACCUCAAGGCCAUGUACAUCAAAAUGACAACAUUCAAUAAUAUAUGUAGUUUAAAGUAAAAACAGGCUUCAAAGUUGAUACUCCUAAGAAAGCAAAAAAUCAGCAAAAUUGCAGACAAUAUCAGGCCUGUAAUGAGAAAAAGUAAGUUGGUUAAGUUUGGUGUGUUUUUUCAUCAAAAAAUAAAUAAAUUUGGUGUGUUUGUCUUGUUAAAUAUGCAAGCAUUAAUACACAUAAUCAUGUUAUCUUGUGUUCUGAAUUUUCUGUUUGUAUUUGAUGUCCCUACAAAUUUUCGAACACUUCCGGAUAUACAACAUUCAAAGUUGUAGUGCAAGUGUUCCCAUCUUCAUCUAAGAUUAACAUCUUCAAACCUUUUUUUGUUGUAACUCUAGAGAUUGCUACAUAUAGUUGGCCAUGCGUAAAAACUGGUCGAGGUAAAUACAUCCCAACCUUGGAAAGAGAUUGUCCUUGACUUUUGUUUAUUGUCAUUGCAAAGCAUAAGCAAAUAGGAAAUUGUCGGCGAGAGAACUUGAAAGGUAGACCGGAAUCAGUAGGUACCAAAUCCAUCCUUGGAAUAUAUACACUUUCACCAAUAUUUUUUCCAGUGAUAACUGUGGCAGUUAUAAUAUUCUACCUUAGGAAAAAAAAAAUAUACUCCCAACACAAAAAAUCAGAGGAUAUAGAAAGGAUACACAUGCGUGUAAUGGGUAAAGGCUUAAAUGAAUCUUUUUUAAUUUUUGGAACAAAACCAUGAAAACUAAAGUUUUAUGCUGGCUGUAGAAAAAUAACACUACAUAUUUUCCUUACAAAAGAACUAUCUGAAAAAAGUUUCUUAAUAAGUUUUUUUUUUUUUUCUGAAGGAAGAUUUUCUAAUAAGUUGUUAUCGAAAAAAAGUUUGAAUGUCAUCUGGUCAAGUUGUAGAUUCAGAUUUUUUGUUUUUGAGAGAAAGUUGUUGUAGAUUCAUUGCAAAUAUGACUUUCUUCAUAUUUAAAUAUUUAACUAUGAAGUUCAUUUUUUUUAGUUCGGUUACUUUUAAAUAUUAUUUAAAGGAAUACCAUGAAAAUGUGAUGCAAAGUGAAUGACAACAAAGUGACUUGAUUAAAAAAUCAAUUUGCUGAAUAAAAAAGAAACUGAUAAUUACUUAAACAUACCACUCUAUUGCCAAAUCUGCCACAUGGGCAUUAGAGUUACAAAAUAACAGGCCCACUGCCACUGGGAUUAAACAGUACUUAAAUAAGACUACUACUAACUUAAAUAAACCACAAAUGAAAAGGUCCACUGCAACUGGGAUUACAGCUGACUUAAACAGAUUACUACUAAUUGGCCCACUGCCACUGGACUCAAAUUGUACUUAGAAAUUACAACCAAAAUGAAGAAACUAACAGAGGGUCAAUAUCUUUGACCUUUUGAAUUGCAUAGCAAAACACAUAAACUUAAUCAAACAUUUCCAGCCAUGAUGACACGGGUAUCUAAAAAAACCAAACUACAACCAGCCAAGUACAGUCAAUCAUGUGACUAAAUUUUUUCAAUCUUAAUGUUCCUCUUGAGCAAUUUGAUGGGAAGGUUGAUUUCCUCAACUUCAUUAAUUUCAGGUUGAGGUAAAACUCUUUUGACAAUUUUGCGUGUAGUUGACUUGACCAAACAGCAGUUAGAUACUUUCUUUGAUGCACCAACAUCAAGGUCAACCGCAACAGAAGAAAAUUUAGGCAACAGAUCUUCAGAUAUUCCAAUAGGUGUUCCCUCAACAAUGAUGUUUUUGUCUUUAUCAAUGGUUUCGCUCAAACUUCCAAGGUCCUAUAAAAAUUCAAUGAUGAAAGUGAAGUCAACAAUGUAUGCAAUAAAAGGCUGAAUUAAUAAUAAUUUAAAUAAUAAAUAUAAAUAAUCAUAACAUAAAUUAUAACAAUAAGAAAGUAUACAUGUGAUUGGACACUUGAUGAACCAACCACUAACAUAUCCUUCCCCUUGUCCAACAGAGAACUCAAAGACCCCAUCUCCUAAUAAAAUCAAUCACACAAUGAAGUUGAUGUUAAAUACUGUUAAUUGAUAAUUAUGAUUGAUAUAGUGAAAAAAAUGCACGCUUUAUAAUUAAAGUGCAAUAAUAAUAAUAAUAAUAAUAAUAAUAAUAACAACAACAACAUGAUGGCAUAAAUAAAAUACAAACAAACACAUACAUUGGUAUUUUUUAUAAAGGUUGCUUCUUCCUUAGCCCACUUUGCCUUAAACUGGUUGAUAAUCACCCCAUCAGUGCACACUUUCUUCACCCUAAAUGAUUGCUCAAAUCUAGGACUGAUAGCAGUUUUGAAUUCAACCUUGAACAGGUAUGUGCAGUUGACCAAUGCACCAAUCUCAGUUGGAAGCACACCCUCGUCAGCCCUCUAAAUUCAUCCAAGAACCAGAAAUGAAAUGUUAAAGCCUAUGAUAUAAAGAAAUCUGAAUGUAACACAUAUAAGUGAAAGUUAUUUUUUUUUUUACAUGUGUUUCCAAAAUGUCAGCACAACUUUUAUUGAACAACAUUGUUGCAUCACGGUCAAACAAAACAAAGGUUGCACAAUCACUAUCAUCCACAACUCGCACCUUUAUAGAAUACCUACAUUUCCAGCAAUUAUAUAUGAGUUAGUGAUUUAAUUUUAAUAUUGCAGUUACAAUACAUACUUAAUCAUGUAAAGCAUUAACAAUGUGGUUUGGUCUUGACCUUGGAAACACUUUGACCACAUGCCUAUUACACUUCUCGCAGAAGUGCAUCCCCUCAGCAGGAUAUACAGAUUUGUUGCACAUACAGGCCGUGUAGUACCAAUUCUCAGGGUUCACAAUCUGUUUGACAGUUCCAAGCACAACAUACAUCCCCUCCUACAAUGAUACAAAAAACAAAGCUUUUGGUUAAAAUUGAAUAUUAGUAGAUAGACAAUAAUAUGUGCUUAUUUUAAAAAAUGAAGUAGUUAUGAAAUGAUGAUUAUGGUAAACCUGCUGAGAAUCCUUCAAUCCCUGAAUAGUUAUUCUUGGAGUGUUGAAUAAAAAAUCUUGCAAAGGGUCAAUACUUGGUUCCACAGCUAGCUGAGUAAGAGGGGAUGGUGUAUCAUCAUUUUCAAUCAUCCUAUAAAUCAUGCCAUAGAAAAUAUAAUUUUAGCCAUUAGUACCGCAACAUAAGAGUGAUGAAAACUUUAUAAUAGUAUGUACAUAUGAAUGGAAAAUUCAAGUUAAAAAAAUGAUAUUAUAGUACCUGUUCUUAAAGGCAGUACCCUCACGUCAAAUGAAAGUAAACAAAAUAUUCACAUGUAUAAAUAAAGUAAAACAUAAGCAAAAAGAAAACUAGGUGUGACCCGCUCUAAAAAAAAAAUUCCCCAGCGAAGUCGCCAUUUCUGUUAUCUUGAUUUUAGGGUGUCAAGCCAUUGAUUGGACUUGAACCUUUCAAUCCUCGAUGUUCUCUGUUUUUUUUUGGGGAAGGGUAAAUGGAGAGAAACCCUUAAAAAGUUCUAGGUUCGGGGGUCGAUUUCGUUACGGGAAGGUGUUAGGCACCCGUCGCGACUAUAGUAUCCUAUAGGAACCGUUUUCUAAUUUUGCCUAUGCUUUACCUUUUAUAUUUAUGAAAGGAAUGUUGUUUAUCAAGAAUGGAGGGAGAGAUAGUUGAGUUUGAUUUUAUUUGAAAAAUGAUUUUUGAAGAGGAGGAGAGAAGCCGUAAGGCAUAGAAGAAAAAUGUCGAAUUUGAUCUUUAUUUUUAUUUCACAAAAGGGCAUUGGAGUAUUGACUCCAAAGUUUGUUUGAAAAAUUUAGCCUAUUUCGAAGAAGAAAUUUCGCUAGGCGUCGAAUUCCUAAACAUACACCUAAAUCGAUAAUCAUGCAACGUGUGUGCGAGUGUUGGUGCUUGUGUCGGUGUACAUUAUUAGAGAUAGUCCAUAGUCCGUUACAUUUUGUCCUAGUAUACAUUCUAUGGUCUUGCGAAAAUUAAAAUGGAAACUAAACUAUCUAAAAUGUUACACCAUUUAUCAUAUGAAUAAAAGUAAAAAAAAUGGCUAAACUAGUGGAAAUAGAAAUGGAAUGGUGAAAUGCUCAUGAGAUGAAUGAAACAAAGGGUGAGAUGAUUAGUAAAACAAAGCAUAGAAUAAUAGAAGUGCACAAGAAAUAAUAUUGAAAGGAAAGACAUAAAAGAAGCAAAUAAAGUGGCAAAAUGUGUGUGAAAAUGGACAUAAAACUCUAGCACAUGUAUGACCCAUAAUCCCUUUAUUUUGGCGUUUUUAGAGGUCUUGCUUUGUGUAAAAAAAAAUGAAAAAGAUGGGACAUAUUUUAUGCUAGAAUUUAUGGCGCACUUUCAAAACAUUUUGACCCUUUAUUCACUAAUGAAAAUGCAUACAAAUUGCAAGGUGAAGAGGGAAUUAAAAUUGAUAUACAAAAGCAGCAAAUUGCACAUAUAAUCAGCAGCAAAAUCAUCAUAAAAUUGCACUCCAAGAAGUCAUAUCACAUGUCAACGCUUCAUGAGGAAUAUUGCACUAAAAAAUGCACAUACAUGGACCAAAAAUACACUAAUUGAACAAAAACAUCACAUGUGAUCUUUAUCAUUUUUUUUUAGUUGAAAAGCAUCACAAAGAUAUGAGAAUCCACCAAGAAUCAUGUGAUAUUUUUUGUGCAAUUUUUAGAGUAUUUUUCAAACAUGCAGAGGUUCAAUUAGUAAAGAAACGGGGUGCAGAUAGCAAAAAAAUAACAAAAAAACAAAAAAAAAACUAGGCCCAAACCCAUGCUGCUGGAAACGGAUCAGGUGGAGAGCACAGGGACCGUUGGAUCGAUCCAGGAAUCAAAAUCUAGAUCCAACGGAUGAGAAAGAAAGGAAAGAACCAAGAAUAAACCGGUUCGGUUCAGCAGCCUAUAUAUAGGUGUGAAAACCGGUUUUUCUCAUUUUUUUCUCCUCUUUCUCUUUCUUCCCUCAAUCUAGUGAGAGAAGCUCUCACUUCUCUCUAGGAUUUCCGGUCACCUUCUCCGAUUCACAUGGCUUUUCCGGCGCGGCGGACGGCGGUGGCGCCUCCGCGCCGGAGUUCGAAACUUCUUCGAUUCAAAAAACUUUUUACGUUUUUGAACAUCCUUUUUUGUAUACUACUCGAAUCCGAGCUUAGAUUUUUCAAAAGAGUUUUGAAUCGGAGUAGAUCUAAACUUGAACCUUGAUGAAAAAGAAAAAAAAAAAUUUAAGAAAACGGAAAAGAAGAGAGGGAGAACGACGGCGGUUACCUCUUUGGCACUUCGAACUCACGAUUGCAGCGGCUCUUGGCUUGGCGUUGUUGCUUCGUGUUCUUCGCGUGUGCGCUUUGUUGCAGUUGCUUCGGCUUCGAUUGCUGUUGCUUCGGCUUCGAUUGCUGUUGCUUCAGCUUCGUGUGCUUGCGUUUCUGUUGCUGGCUUCGAUUGCUUGCGUUUUUUCGAUUCUGUCCUCUUCUCCUUCCUCUGUACAGAUUCGAUUUUCCCUUCUUCUUCUCCCACCGUGAUCGGUGCUUGAGUUCUUCACUUCCGGUGAGGAAUUCGCACCUUGUAUUGCGGUGGAAUCGAUUCAAUGAUGAAGAUUCGUACACGAAUCUCUGAGAAUUGAUGAUGAAUUUCGGUUAGGGUUCUUUGUGUUCUUGAGAAAAUUUUUUGUUUUGAUCUAACAGAAAAGAGAGAGAAAGUGAGAAUCUGUUUUUUCUUUUUGGUGAUGUGUAUUGCAAUCUUUUUUGGAUCUGUGCAGAAAAAGUCUAUUUAUAGACUGCCAUGUGUGAUUCUGGACCAAUGAGAAAAGGACAUCUGUUUUGGGACCUUUCUGCAAAAAAAAUGAAAUUAAAGGACUGGACAGCAAAUAAGAAAAAAGGACUAAGAAUGCAAUUUUUAAAGAGUAGUGGACUGAAAUGCAAUUCUGGAAAUUGUUUGAUGGACUAAAAUGUAAUUAAAAAAUAAAAUUGAAUUAAAAUUGGUAAAUUGGGCAAAACGUAAAGUGAAACCAAAAAUAAAAUCAACAAAAGGACUAAAAUGAACCAGUUCCAAAAAUGAGGUAUUUUAAAAUACCUCUCUGCCGAAAUUUUGACAGGAAAAGACCAAAAUGCCCCUAGGGACUAAACUGACUCAAACUGACUCAGAUGCAAUUUUUGAAAUGAUUUUUAAACAAAGACUCAACAAAGAUUUGUACAAACAAAUUGAAAAGACUCAGAGACAAACACAGGGAUUAAAAUGGGUUCCACUGCAGGAAAUGACCAAAAUACCCUUUUGUAUGAUUUUUGAAAUAAAAUGCAAGAAAAUGUAAUGCGACGUUUCAGAGAGUUCUUAAAUGACUUGUAAUGCAAGAAAAGACAGACAGAGGCAGUAAAAUAUGUUUUAAAAAGAGAGUAAAGAUUCAGAGAAAAAUAACAGAGAAUUGACAAACAUCAAUGUUAAAAAAGAAAUUUGAACGAGUAUUUUUAGGUCCAAAAUCAGGGUAUAACAGCUGCCCCUAUUUAAGUUUCUUUGUCUGGAGGGUCAAGAGACGGAGUCUUUGGCUUGACGGGACGAAGAUACUUAAAUAUUAACAUUUGCACUGUGUUUGGACGUAAAAAUACGCUUGUACAUUUUCGAAUAUCAUGAAUGCCAUGCAACAUUUGGAUUAUGAGUGCAAGACAAACGAAAACUGGAACUAACAAAAGAUGUCGUAUCCAUUGCGGGAUUGGUAGACAUUGACAAGAUAACAGAUAACAGGGUAGAUAGGAGACUAGGAACAAAUUGACGGGUACAAGCUGCUCUUGGAUUGAGCUGGGCACUUGACCGGGAAUAAAAGCAGACAAACAGGUGCGAGUUGUUCUUGGAUUCGAACUGGUCACUCGACCGGAGACAUAGAAAAGUUAGACAGGUACGAGUUGUUCUUGAUUCGAACUAGUUUACUCGAUUGAAAGCAAGGUAAAUAGACGGGUGCGAGCUUGUUCUUGGAUGCGAACUGGUUACUCCACCGGAGACAAAGACAAAAUAGACAGGUGCAAGCUGCUCUUGGAUUGAGCUAGCUUACUUGACCGAACAGAAACAGAUAGACAGGUACAAGCUGUUCUUGGACUUGAACUAGCCACUUGACCAAAAUCAUAAACACAUAGACAGGUACGAGCUGUUCUUGAUUCGAACUGGUAACUCGACCGGGGUCAUGGAAAAGUAGACAGGUACGAGUUGUUCUUGGAUUCGAACUGGUCACUCGACCGAAAGCAAAGGCAAAUAAACAGGUGUGAGCUUGUUCUUGGAUGCGAACUGGUUACUCCACCGGACGGAAACAUAUAGACAGGUACAAGCUGCUCUUGGAUUGAGCUAGCCACUUGACCAAUCGGAAACAUAUUGAUAGGUACAAGCUGCUCUUGAAUUGAGCUGGGCACUCGACCGAUAACAUAAGCAAAUUGAUAGGUACAAGCUGUUCUUGGACUUGAACUAGCCACUUGACCGAACAGAAACAAAUUCACAGGGGGUUAGUUUUUUGACAAAGUAUAGAUUGAGAUUGACUUGACGUCGAUUUGAUUUGAAAGGUAGAAAUUGACCGAUAUUAUUGGCUCACAAGGUUUUGACAGAGAACCCGACAUGAGUAUUGAGUUGAGACUGAUGUUGACAUUGGAAAUGCAAUAUGCAUGGAUGAUACAACAGUUUCAUUAAAUGCAUGGGCACGUAAUAUGCAUGAUUAUGCAUGUAUGAAUGCUCGUAAUGCAUGACUGUUGGCGAUUUGUAGACAUAGUUUCGCAGAGACAGACAGGACAUUGGAGUAUUGGGCACGUAGUGGCUCGUGCUAUAUUAUACUUUCCUGGAAAUCCUCUUUGGAGAUGACGUCGUUGGGAGACGUGUCGGAACCAUGGCUGAGGGCAGGUAGCUAUGCAACUUGCUGGGGAUAGAAUCUCGGGAGACUCUACUGGGAAUAAUGCCGGAUGUAUCGUGGACGUCGCAUCUGUGGUCAAUGCUUUUUGCAUGUUAUUUUUUUUCAAUUUUCAAUCAUUUUUUUUGUAUCCCAUUUUUGCCUGGAUCGCCCUUUUGGGUUUUCGAUCCACCGGGGAGAUAAAUUCUUUUCAUUGCCCCAUUUUUGCCUGAACUGCCCUUUCGGGUUGUCAAUCCAACGGGGUGCUCAUUUUUGCCUAAGCCGCCCUUUCGGGUUUUCAACUUAGCGAGCCUAUUCAUUUUCAUGCAUUUUCAUUCUGUUUUUUCAUUCUUGCCAUUGACCACAGACUAUCCUGGAGGAGAACCUGCUUGUAACAUAUAUUGAAAUAGACACCAACACACACUCGCUCAUGCAUGUUCAUUUGAAUGUACACUGUCGCUCAGGUUUGCUUUUCAAAAUAGACAAAAAGUUUUCAAUUUUCAAAAAUGUUUGUUUCAAGCAUUGUCAUUAUCAAAAUAGAAAGAAAAUGUUUUGUAUAUAGCUUUGAAAGUAGAAGAAAAAUAGAGUUUCAAACAAAAGCACAAGCUCAAAUUGAUGUAUAAGAGUGGUGGUCAGCCGAAGGCGUGACUCCACGGAUUCACAAAGCUUGGAAAAUGGUAAUUUUAUUGGUUGGUGGUACAUUGAACACAGUAAUCAUGACAUUUCCUAGAAACUUUGAAUUCGCAAGCAUAGGAGCUUUGAUGAAGAUGGUCAUUAACAGCUGCAGAUGCCCCAAGGGGGACGGUGGUUGGCCAGAUAUAGUUACUUGCCUUUUGUUUCAAUCUCAUUUUUGCAUGAACCGCCCUUCCGGGUUUUCGGCUCAUCGAGACGCUCAUUCUUGCCUGAGUUGCGUACAAUCUCAGCGAGCUUUUCAUAUAUAUUUUUUUGUGUCCCUUAUUUUUGCCUGGACCGCCCUUUCGGGUUUUCGAUCCACCGGGAAGCGCAUUUUUGCCUAGGCCGCCCUUUCGGGUUUUCGACCUACCACGUUGUUCUUUUCAUAUUUCUAGGCAAAGUAUUUCUUGACUAUAUCGGCAUUCACUGGAUUUGGAAGUUCUACACCAUCCAUGUGUGUAAGGAUUAAAGCACCACCGGAGAAGGCCUUCUUGACAACAUAAGGACCUUCAUAGUUAGGCGUCCACUUGCCCCUUGGGUCGGGUUGCUGGCUUAUCCUUCUUUUCAAUACAAGUUCCCCUACCUUGAAUUCUCGAGGAUGAACUUUCUUGUCAAAAGCAGUCUUCAUUCUUGCUUGAUAUGACUGUCCACGAGCCAUGGCAUCCAUACGUUUUUCCUCAAUCAAAUUCAACUGAUCAUACCGGCUUUGGCACCAUUCAGCCUCAGAUAACUUUGCUUCCAUAAUCACACGGAGAGAUGGGAUCUCCACUUCCAAAGGAAGAACUGCUUCCAUACCAUAUACAAGAGAGAAAGGGGUUGCCCCGGUUGAACUGCGCACGGUAGUACGGUAGCCAUGCAGAGCAUAGGGUAACAUCUCAUGCCAGUCCUUGUAAGUGGUUACCAUCUUCUGGACAAUUCUCUUGAUAUUCUUGUUGGCGGCCUCAACUGCACCAUUCAUCUGAGGUCUAUAAGGAGAAGAGUUAUGAUGCUCAAUUUUGAAUUUUUCACAAAGAGCUUGCACCACAUUGUUGUUCAGGUUGGUACCAUUGUCGGUAAUAAUCUUGCUGGGAACACCAUAUCGACAGAUGAUGUUGUUCUUGAUGAACUUAGCUACCACUUGCUUGGUCACAUUGGUAUAAGAUGCUGCUUCAACCCACUUGGUGAAGUAGUCAAUUGCCACUAAGAUGAAACGAUGACCAUUUGAAGCCUUCGGUUCAAUUCUUCCAAUCAUGUCGAUGCCCCACAUUGAGAACGGCCAUGGGGAUGAAAUAACAUUGAGAGCGUGCGGAGGCACAUGAAUCUUAUCAGCAUAGAUUUGACAUUUGUGGCACUUUCUGGCGUGCUGGUAGCAAUCAUGCUCCAUGGUCAUCCAGUAGUAACCUGCUCGUAACAAUUUCCUUGACAUAGUAUGCCCUGUAGCAUGGGUUCCGAAGGUACCGUCAUGUACAUCAUGCAUUAACUGUUCUGCUUCAUGUUCAUCAACACAUCUUAACAAUACCAUGUCAUAGUUUCUCUUGUACAGAAUAUCUCCAUCUAACAGGAAUCUACUGGCCAAUCUUCUCAAGGUCUUCUUGUCUUGUUUGGAAGCACCUGGCGGAUACUCACGGCUCAGCAAGAACUGUUUGAUGUCGUAGUACCAGGGUUUAUAGUCAACCACAUUUUCGCCAGCCUGAUCGAUCACAUCCCCAAUAGCAAACACAUGUGAAGGUCUUUCAAGGCGUUGCACUUUGAUUAUUGGCACAUCAUUCCAAUGGUUCACUCGAAACAUGGAAGAUAGAGUAGCAAGAGCAUCAGCCAUUUGGUUCUCAUCACGAGGAAUAUGGUGCAGCUCAACCUUUGUAAAAUAUGUCAGCAAACGCCUCGCAUAAUCCCGAUAAGGAAUCAACUUAGCAUGGUGGGUCUCCCAUUCACCCUUUAUCUGAUUGAUGACGAGCGCAGAAUCUCCAUAGAUGUCGAGGUGUUUGAUUCUCAUGUCAAUUGCUUCCUCGAUCCCGAAGAUACAUGCUUCAUACUCAGCCAUAUUGUUUGUACAUUCGAACAGAAUUCGGGCGGUAAAAGGGAUGUGAUGCCCCUGUGGGGAUACAAUGACUGCCCCAAUUCCUUUACCAUAAGCAUUGACAGCACCAUCAAAGACUAAACCCCACUUGCUAUUGGGAUCUGGACCUUCAUCAAUCAACGGUUCUUCGCAGUCUUUGGAUUUCAAAUACAUGAUCUCUUCAUCGGGGAAAUCGAACUCAAUUGGUUGAUAAUCAUCAAGAGGUUGGUAAGCAAGAUGAUCGGCAAGAAUGCUACCUUUGAUUGCCUUUUGAGUUUUGAACACAAUAUCAUAUUCAGACAAAAGCAUCUGCCAGCGUGCAAUCUUUCCAGUAACAGCAGCUUUCUCAAAGAUAUACUUUAUCGGAUCCAUUCUGGAUAUCAACCAAGUUGUAUGAUUCACCAAAUAAUGACGCAGGCGUUUAGCGGCCCAGGCCAAAGCACAACAAGUCUUCUCAAGCAUUGUAUACCGAGUUUCACAAUCGGUGAACUUCUUGCUUAGAUAGUAGAUAGCAUGUUCUUUCUUUCCAGUCUCAUCUUGUUGACCAAGUACGCAUCCCAUGGAUUCAUCAAAUACUGCCAAAUACAUAAUCAAAGGCCUUCCUUCCACGGGUGGGACAAGGAUAGGUGGUUCCAGCAGGUAAUUCUUGAUGCUAUCAAAAGCUUCUUGACAUUCAUCAUUCCAUACAAUAGGUUGAUUCUUUCUGAGUAGCUUGAAGAUCGGCCCGCAGGUUGCGGUCAUGUGAGAUAUGAAUCGGGAGAUGUAAUUCAAACGUUCGAGGAAACCUCUGACUUGCUUCUCGGUCUGUGGAGCUGGCAUUUCUCGGAUGGCCCGGACUUUAUCAGGAUCGACUUCAAUGCCCUUUUGGCUGACAAUGAAGCCUAAUAACUUCCCGGAUCUGACGCCGAAUGUACAUUUGUUGGGAUUCAAUCGAAGCUUGUAUUUUCUCAACCUUUCAAACAUCUUUGUCAAAUAUUCAACAUGUUGCUCCUCAUCUGUUGACUUCACAAUCAUGUCGUCCACAUAUACUUCGACUUCUUUGUGAAUCAUGUCAUGAAACAGAGUAGUCAUCCCUCUUUGGUAGGUGGCACCAGCAUUUAUUAAGCCGAAUGGCAUCACUUUAUAGCAGAAAAUACCCCAUGGAGUGAUAAAAGACGUCUUUUCUCUAUCUUCAGGAGACAUUUUGAUCUGAUUGUAACCGGAGAAACCGUCGAUGAAGGAGAACACCUUAGACUGAGCAGUAUUAUCAACAAGCACAUCAAUAUGAGGUAAUGGAAAGUUGUCUUUUGGACUAGCUUUGUUCAGGUCUCUGAAGUCAACACACAUCCGGACUUUACCAUCCUUUUUUGGCACAGGUACAAUAUUGGCAACCCAUUCAGGGUACUCAACUGUCAUGAGGAAACCCGCAUCAAUCUGUUUUUGAACCUCGCUCUUAAUCUUGAGAGCCAUAUCUGGAUGAGUCCUUCUCAAUUUCUGCCUGACGGGAGGACAUUCAGGCUUGGUGGGGAUCCGAUGCUCCACAAUCAUAGGAUCUAGACCUGGCAUAUCUUCAUACGACCAUGCAAAAAUAUCCGGAUAUUCCCGGAGGAGUUGGAUGAUCUUCUUUUUAACCCCUUCCUCUAGAGCAGCACCGAUCUUGAUUUCUCGCUUGUUCUCCUCGGUACCUAUGUUGAUAAGCUCAAUUUCUUCCUGGUGAGGCUGAAUGGCUUUCUUUUCUUGCUCAAGUAACCGAGUGAUCUCAUAUGGUAUGUCAUCACCUUCCUCAUCUUCGGCCUCAUACACUGGGAACUCAAAAUUCGGAGGGAAUGCAGGGUUACUGUGCCCAACGGGUUUAUUAUAGUUCAAUCUGCGUAAAAUGGUUGGAUGAUUUUAGAAAGAGGGGUUUUAUGCAUAUUUUUGAAAUUAAUAAGAAAAUACAGAUGUUUUGGUUUUUUCUGGCAUUACCAUUAUUUCCAAGGGAAAAAGCACUAAAAAAAACAGUCAUGGAAGAAACGACAAAAUUUUCAUUAAUCAACGGCAAUGUCGAAACAAACAUGCCCUUACAGAAAAUAUCACUCUCGCUUUGGGCAGAGCGAGAUGAUUGUUAUUUUGAAAAAAACAAGAUACUUAAGCAACAAGGUAUAUUACUCAGAAACAUGCAUGAUUGAGGGAAUGUCAAUGGCAUCCCAAUCUCUCGCAAAGCCUCCUGGUGUAACAAAUACAGGCCUUGGGCCAAAUCCAGUUGCUUCUUCUGUGAUUGCGUUGACAAACCCAGCACUACAGAAUGCCCCGGUGGAAACUCCUGAAGUUGGGGAGAAGCCAAGACCUUCCUUAUGCUUGUUCUCACGAAGCUGUAUUAACCUGCCCCAGCCGGCAGCUUGACCCUCUUGGACGGCUCUCUGUGUAUCCUUUAAAGAAGCCAUCGCAGUUCCAUCCCUCUUGGGCUCCGUACCUUCGACAGUUAAUCCUUGAAAAGCGGUCCCCUCUGCGGACCCUGCUUCUAUGCAAGAGAAAGAUGAUAGCUGGCUAACCAGGUAUGCCUCCUCUCCAUGAAUGGUAACAAGCUUUCCACUUUUUGCAAAUUUCAACUUUUGGUGCAAAGUAGAGGUCACUGCUCCCGCAUCGUGUAUCCAUGGUCUCCCCAAGAGACAGCUGUAAGAGGCAUUAAUAUCCAUGACCUGAAAGGUGAUUAGAAAGGUUUCGGGGCCGAUAGUUAUUGGCAAGUCUAUCUCCCCGAGAACGCUCUUGCGGGUUCCAUCAAAGGCUUUGACCAGAAAAGUGCUCUUCCUCAAAGGAGUUCCCCGGUAACUCAGCUGAUCCAGCGUUGACUUGGGCAUCACGUUCAAAGAUGAGCCAGUGUCUACUAACACAUUUGAGAUCAUGUCAGACUUGCAAUUUACGGAGAUAUGCAAGGCCAGAUUAUGAUACUUUCCUGCUUCGGGCAAUUCAUCUUCACUGAACCACAGAUUGCUGCAGGCGGUAAUGUUCCCCACUAUGCUACCAAAGUGAUCUACAGUUACUUCAUGAUCCACAUAAGCCUGCUCCAAUACUUUCAAAAGGGUAUCUCUGUGGGCAGCGGAACUCAGGAGUAGAGACAAAAUGGAUAUCUUCGACGGAGUUUGCAACAGCUGAUCUACAAUCUUAUAAUCACUUCUUUUGAUCAACCUCAAAAUCUCGUCCAGAUUAGAAUCCUCUAUAGACCGGCCUGGUUGGCUCGCAUCUCUGUUAACGGGGGAAACAUCAGUCGGGGUUGGCUUGUCAAUGGGUGGCACGGUAGGCGUAGCUGCCUUCAUUUGAAACAACGGUGGACGGACUCUUCCGCUUCUUAGGGCUGCUGAAGUUCCUUCGGCAGUAUUGUUCACCACAGCCAAGGACACCAGAGGCACUUCUACUCCGUUUUCGAUUAUGGUAGCAUUAUAUUUGUACGGGAUAGCCCUAUCUGAAGUAUACGGUACCGGUCCGGGCAACCUUAUCACCAAAGGCUCAGCAUUCUUCUUCAAAGGUAUACUCUUGACAGGCGGAUCGUGAAAAACUGGCACAAUCACGCAGACGUCACUAACAGUCAAAAAAUUAUCAUUCAUCAAGCUUUGGAUGUCAUCUUGAACAGUAUAGCAACCCAAAGAAUUACGAAGGCAUCCUAGACACUUGGCAUGAUCAUGGCUGAACAGAGAAGCUUUGCACAGCUUGUUGUGUAUAAGCACCAGAGGAGUUGCGACGUUGCGGACAUCAAGUCUAGGAGCUUCCUCACAUACUUCGAUCAUAUUCACAGCGGCAUGAUUUGGAAGAGGAUUGUCGAGGACAUGUGGGACAUUAUUCUCAAAAGUCAGCUUUCCUUGAUCAAUGAGCUUCUUCACGAUAUACUUCAAAGCAUAGCACCCCUCGACAUCAUGACCCAGGGCGCCUUGAUGAAAAUCACAUUUGAGAUCAGACCUGAACCUUGGAGGCAACGGAUCAGGUGGGGGCUUGCCCUGUCUGGUUGUACAAUGCCCUCUAUGGAGUAAAGUUGGAAGCAACUCUGCAUACAACAUUGGUAUAGGAGGAAAAGUCGGUCUAGCAUAUUGUUGCUGCUGCUGUUGAACUGGCGGUUGAUGUUGCACCUGUUGAGCGAUGGCAUUGACAGGGACCUGAGGUUGGCCCGGUGGCAAAGGGUACUGAUGAUAAAACGAUGGGAAGAACGGAUGCUGAGAGUAUGGUGCAUAAGGGUAGGACGGGGGAAACUGAGCAGCAUUGAUAGGAGCAACAGUAGCCAUGGAUGGAUUAGUUCCAGCGGCUAUCAUUCCCACCUCCGUAUCUUUCUUCUUGUGAUGUCCAUUACCAUAUCUCUUCACAGCAUUCGCAGAUGACUCAAUCUUCUCAAACACGAUGAUGCCUUCCCGAACAGCUUCUUCCAGACGUGUUCCCAUGGUAACCAUCUCUGAGAAAUUGUUUGGGGCUGCGAUAAUCAUCCUUUCAACAUAAUCCUUCUUGAGAGUCUUCAGAAAUGUCUGAGUCAUUUCCUCUUCAUCUAAAGCAGGAGUGAUACGGGCAGCUGCCCCUCUCCACCUUUGCGCAUAUUCACGGAAACUUUCCUCCUUCUUCUGAGAUAGGGACCUGAGAAACUCCCUAUUUGGCUUCAGUCUUGUAUUGAACCCAUACUGGCUUUUGAAAGCGGCUGCUAGCUCAUCAAAAGUGUGGACAUCAUCUUUGCUUAGACUAGUAUACCACUCUGCAGCAUCUUCCAUCAGACUGUCUUGGAAGCAAUGAAUCAUAGGGGAAUCAUUAUCCUUGUAGUUGCUCAUCUUCCGGACAUACUUGACAAUAUGAUUUUGAGGACAAGUCAGCCCGUUAUACUUGUCGAACUCCGGGACUUUGAACUUUUUGGGAACAUCUACCUUCGAUACUAAGCAGAGAUCCUGGGUUUUAAUGGAGUCUCUGUUUCCCCUGUUGGCCUUAAUUUCCCGUCGGAGCUCUUUGGCAAGCUCUUCCAUCCUCUCUUCCAUAGUUCCGGUUGUGGCAAUACUCCCGCGGUGCGCAUUAGCAUGGACAAAUUGAGGCACCGUAUUCAUAAUGGGCUCGGUAACAGUUGUUGCGGCUUGAGUCAAGGCGGUACUAACAGGAGUCAAGUUUGCCCCUGAGAUUGGGCCAUUGCUGGUAGUACCAGAGGUGCCUGCACCUGUAUUAGCAGUAUAGUACGGUGGAAGUCCGUAAGGAUACCCAGGUGGCAUGGUGAAGCGGGGAUCAGUUGUUGCAGUAGGAAUCACAUUUGCAGCUGCAGAAACUACAGGAGCUGGUUGUUCUUGAGCAGCCAACAGAGCAGUCAUAGCAUCAUGAGCUUUAGCCAAUUCCUCCCUUAGAGAUGCCAAUUCGGUACGGAGCUGCGUGUUCUCUUCUUCCAUAGCCUUUUUCCUUCUUCUGUAUUCUCUGGUUCGAUCGAUUCUGUCAGGUUCGUAGACCUUCUGAGCACGAGCCACUUUUCAAACUGUGGCAGAGGAACCAGGAGGUAGUGAGCACUUGGAAGCCUUUGUGACCAAUGCAUGAUGCAUGAUAUGCAAAUGCAAAUGCAAAAGACUUCUUUUUUCAUCGAAGGAUUUUUAAACAAAUUAGAAAUCUUGCAAAUAAUCAAAACUACAUAGUAUUUUCAAAAGGAAGACUUUGAAAUUUCAGCAAGAUAAACAAAUGAAGCCCUCAAGCAUAGGAAGUAGUCGGAGAAUCAUCGGACUCGGAAUCUAAAUCACAGUAUCUGGCAAAGAAGUCUCGUCGUCCUCUGGCUCUCUUGGAAUCCCUCAUAAGCAGCUCGUCUUUCUCUUCCAAUUCCCUCCGGACCUUAGCUAGUUCCUUCUUCAACAUCAGGUUCUCAUGAGUUUUCUGCUCAUCUCUACCAUCCAAAGUCAUGAUUAGAUUCUCAGCUUGAUUGUACCGAGCUUUCCACACUUGCUUCUCACGACUCUCCAUAGCUAGAUGCUCCUGAUACAUAUCCUGAGUCGUGGGGAGUAGAGGUAGAGGCAUAGAUGGAGCAGAUGAAGACACAUAUCUCAUAGCUGGAUAAGGCAUACCAAUCUCCUCAGCUCGAUCUAUCACCCACUGAGUAUAGGCCUCAUGAGCAACACCGGAUCUCACACCUAGAUGCUUCACACUCUUCCUUCGAACCUUGGACCAAGCAUCCAUGAAAGCUUUCCUUUGUCCGGUAGGAGCAUUCGUGUAGAAGAAGAACUCUGGAGAUGUAGCAAGAUUGAUGGGCUUCGACUUCAUAGGGAAACCAAACUGUCUCAUAGCAAGCUCGGGGUUGUAGUUAAUUCCUCCACGAGUACCAAGAAGAGGUAUAUUGAGAAAGUCCCCACAACCCAUAAUGAUUUCCUUCACCUGAGCGGCAGGAGUGAGCCAGACGACCUCAUUAGGAGUGAGGGCCAUAAUCCGCUGCGAGUAGGACCAGUUCUCCGAGUUGUCAUGGAAGGAACUCGGAAGGUGCGAAAUAAACCACCUAUACAAAAGAGAUAUGCAGCAAAGAAUAUACCCACGGCCCUUGAGAGUCCUGUCAUGAAUGGCGUGGUAGGUAUCCGCUAGCAAAGUAGGAACCGGGUUCUUGGAAUGGAAGACCUCGAUAGCAUUCAUGUCCACGAAGUUGUCGAGGUUCGGAAAUAGAAUGAGCCCGUAGAUAAGCAAAGCAAGAAUAGCCUCGAGUGUAUCCUGACAAGUAGUACUGAGAUUAGCCUGCUCAAGAAGAUACUUCGAAGUGAACCCCCGGAUGUGAGACUUGGUAAUAAGAUGGUUGGAGACGUCGGAAGUCUUGAGGUAGAGAUCCUUAGCAAUAACCAGAGGAGUAAGAGAAGUCCCGGGACCGGUGAAAGGCGUCUUCUCGGCUAUAGGUAAACCCACUAGAUUGGAGUAAGCCUCGAGAGUAGGAACCAACUGGAAGUCCGGGAAAGUGAAGCAACGGAAGCUCGGAUCAUAAAAUUGCACUAGAGUGUGCACUAGCUUCUCUUCCACAUCGGUUCGGAGCAAAGUAAGCAAUCCCCCAUACCGGAGUCGGAACCCUGUUUGAUUCUUGACCUUGAGUGCCAACUCUCUUAAACUGACCAAAUCCACUUCCUUGAACUUGUAGCACUUAGUCUUCUUCAUACUUGUGAUUAUUUACAAAAAUUUCCAUUUGUUUAAGCCCUUCGAUGAAUGCAUGAAAAAUGUUUAUGCAUGAAUGCAUGUAUGCAUGAUUGUGUUGUUUAGUUACAAAGAACAAGGUGGGUUGAGAUUCAAAGUAACAGGGCCACGGAUGGACACGACGUCCGGUGAACUAAGGCUUUGGAUAGUAGUAACCAAGGUUCUAACACAGUUCCCAAACUGCAACCUCUCUCACAUAUAUCAUGGUAGUACAGGACGACACCCGUUCCAUGAUUAUUUGUGAGAAGGUCUAGUUUGAGUGUAGUAUCGCGUGACGACUAAAGUUUGAGACAACACUCAAUUUAGCCACCGCACUACGUCCUAAAAAGGCUAGGAUGGGUUUGGUAACUACGGUUCAUAGCUUCGUCGAACAAUUGAAAGUGAAGUGCCUAAGCAUGACAACACACGCCGACAAUAUCACCUUCAAAAUGCCUCAGCUAUGUGAGAUUGAUCGCAUAAUCCAAUACACGAGGCAACCCUCGGAUCGAAUUGUCGAUUAUAUCUCUACCUAAACAUAAGUUCACUCAGCCCGGGUAUAGGACUUUUGAUAUUCUCACCCCACACGUCAAAUGAAAGUAAACAAAAUAUUCACAUGUAUAAAUAAAGUAAAACAUAAGCAAAAAGAAAACUAGGUGUGACCCGCUCUAAAAAAAAAAUUCCCCAGCGAAGUCGCCAUUUCUGUUAUCUUGAUUUUAGGGUGUCAAGCCAUUGAUUGGACUUGAACCUUUCAAUCCUCGAUGUUCUCUGUUUUUUUUUGGGGAAGGGUAAAUGGAGAGAAACCCUUAAAAAGUUCUAGGUUCGGGGGUCGAUUUCGUUACGGGAAGGUGUUAGGCACCCGUCGCGACUAUAGUAUCCUAUAGGAACCGUUUUCUAAUUUUGCCUAUGCUUUACCUUUUAUAUUUAUGAAAGGAAUGUUGUUUAUCAAGAAUGGAGGGAGAGAUAGUUGAGUUUGAUUUUAUUUGAAAAAUGAUUUUUGAAGAGGAGGAGAGAAGCCGUAAGGCAUAGAAGAAAAAUGUCGAAUUUGAUCUUUAUUUUUAUUUCACAAAAGGGCAUUGGAGUAUUGACUCCAAAGUUUGUUUGAAAAAUUUAGCCUAUUUCGAAGAAGAAAUUUCGCUAGGCGUCGAAUUCCUAAACAUACACCUAAAUCGAUAAUCAUGCAACGUGUGUGCGAGUGUCGGUGCUUGUGUCGGUGUACAUUAUUAGAGAUAGUCCAUAGUCCGUUACAUUUUGUCCUAGUAUACAUUCUAUGGUCUUGCGAAAAUUAAAAUGGAAACUAAACUAUCUAAAAUGUUACACCAUUUAUCAUAUGAAUAAAAGUAAAAAAAAUGGCUAAACUAGUGGAAAUAGAAAUGGAAUGGUGAAAUGCUCAUGAGAUGAAUGAAACAAAGGGUGAGAUGAUUAGUAAAACAAAGCAUAGAAUAAUAGAAGUGCACAAGAAAUAAAAUUGAAAGGAAAGACAUAAAAGAAGCAAAUAAAGUGGCAAAAUGUGUGUGAAAAUGGACAUAAAACUCUAGCACAUGUAUGACCCAUAAUCCCUUUAUUUUGGCGUUUUUAGAGGUCUUGCUUUGUGUAAAAAAAAAUGAAAAAGAUGGGACAUAUUUUAUGCUAGAAUUUAUGGCGCACUUUCAAAACAUUUUGACACUUUAUUCACUAAUGAAAAUGCAUACAAAUUGCAAGGUGAAGAGGGAAUUAAAAUUGAUAUACAAAAGCAGCAAAUUGCACAUAUAAUUAGCAGCAAAAUCAUUACAAAAUUGCACUCCAAGAAGUCAUAUCACAUGUCAACGCUUCAUGAGGAAUAUUGCACUAAAAAAUGCACAUACAUGGACCAAAAAUACACUAAUUGAACAAAAACAUCACAUGUGAUCUUUAUCAUUUUUUUUUAGUUGAAAAGCAUCACAAAGAUAUGAGAAUCCACCAAGAAUCAUGUGAUAUUUUUUGUGCAAUUUUUAGAGUAUUUUUCAAACAUGCAGAGGUUCAAUUAGUAAAGAAACGGGGUGCAGAUAGCAAAAAAAUAACAAAAAAACAAAAAAAAACUAGGCCCAAACCCAUGCUGCUGGAAACGGAUCAGGUGGAGAGCACAGGGACCGUUGGAUCGAUCCAGGAAUCAAAAUCUAGAUCCAACGGAUGAGAAAGAAAGGAAAGAACCAAGAAUAAACCAGUUCGGUUCAGCAGCCUAUAUAUAGGUGUGAAAACCGGUUUUUCUCAUUUUUUUUCUCCUCUUUCUCUUUCUUCCCUCAAUCUAGUGAGAGAAGCUCUCACUUCUCUCUAGGAUUUCCGGUCACCUUCUCCGAUUCACAUGGCUUUUCCGGCGCGGCGGACGGCGGUGGCGCCUCCGCGCCGGAGUUCGAAACUUCUUCGAUUCAAAAAACUUUUUACGUUUUUGAACAUCCUUUUUUGUAUACUACUCGAAUCCGAGCUUAGAUUUUUCAAAAGAGUUUUGAAUCGGAGUAGAUCUAAACUUGAACCUUGAUGAAAAAGAAAAAAAAAAUUUAAGAAAACGGAAAAGAAGAGAGGGAGAACGACGGCGGUUACCUCUUUGGCACUUCGAACUCACGAUUGCAGCGGCUCUUGGCUUGGCGUUGUUGCUUCGUGUUCUUCGCGUGUGCGCUUCGUUGCAGUUGCUUCGGCUUCGAUUGCUGUUGCUUCGGCUUCGAUUGCUGUUGCUUCAGCUUCGUGUGCUUGCGUUUCUGUUGCUGGCUUCGAUUGCUUGCGUUUUUUCGAUUCUGUCCUCUUCUCCUUCCUCUGUACAGAUUCGAUUUUCCCUUCUUCUUCUCCCACCGUGAUCGGUGCUUGAGUUCUUCACUUCCGGUGAGGAAUUCGCACCUUGUAUUGCGGUGGAAUCGAUUCAAUGAUGAAGAUUCGUACACGAAUCUCUGAGAAUUGAUGAUGAAUUUCGGUUAGGGUUCUUUGUGUUCUUGAGAAAUUUUUUUGUUUUGAUCUAACAGAAAAGAGAGAGAAAGUGAGAAUCUGUUUUUUCUUUUUGGUGAUGUGUAUUGCAAUCUUUUUUGGAUCUGUGCAGAAAAAGUCUAUUUAUAGACUGCCAUGUGUGAUUCUGGACCAAUGAGAAAAGGACAUCUGUUUUGGGACCUUUCUGCAAAAAAAAUGAAAUUAAAGGACUGGACAGCAAAUAAGAAAAAAGGACUAAGAAUGCAAUUUUUAAAGAGUAGUGGACUGAAAUGCAAUUCUGGAAAUUGUUUGAUGGACUAAAAUGUAAUUAAAAAAUAAAAUUGAAUUAAAAUUGGUAAAUUGGGCAAAACGUAAAGUGAAACCAAAAAUAAAAUCAACAAAAGGACUAAAAUGAACCAGUUCCAAAAAUGAGGUAUUUUAAAAUACCUCUCUGCCGAAAUUUUGACAGGAAAAGACCAAAAUGCCCCUAGGGACUAAACUGACUCAAACUGACUCAGAUGCAAUUUUUGAAAUGAUUUUUAAACAAAGACUCAACAAAGAUUUGUACAAACAAAUUGAAAAGACUCAGAGACAAACACAUGGAUUAAAAUGGGUUCCACUGCAGGAAAUGACCAAAAUACCCUUUUGUAUGAUUUUUGAAAUAAAAUGCAAGAAAAUGUAAUGCGACGUUUCAGAGAGUUCUUAAAUGACUUGUAAUGCAAGAAAAGACAGACAGAGGCAGUAAAAUAUGUUUUAAAAAGAGAGUAAAGAUUCAGAGAAAAAUAACAGAGAAUUGACAAACAUCAAUGUUAAAAAAGAAAUUUGAACGAGUAUUUUUAGGUCCAAAAUCAGGGUAUAACACUAUGUUAUUAUUAAGUUUACAUAUUAGUAACUAUAAGUUCACAUAAUAAAAGAUAAAAGAUAAUAUUUCAACAAAAACAAAAACAUUAUUAAUGUGAUAAGUUAUAAUACCUUGAAAAACCUUCACCUUAGCUAGUUGAAUAGACACUACAACAUUAGCAGUUUCACCAGUUGCCAAAAACGUGUUCAACUCAUCUACAUAAGUCCCAAACAAAGUGCACUGAAGCUUGUAUCUAUAAGAUGGGUAAAAAAAAUAUAAGAAUGUAAGAUAUAUAAAAUAUUGCUUAGUCAGAAUCAUAAGAAAACUUUAAACUUCCCUACCCAUCAGCUUCCAUGGCAAUGACAUUGAGUUUGGUAGCACUGCCAUUGCGUUCAUAUUCUCUCUCUGUGCCAACACCCGUCAACAUUCCAAUAACAUCUAAUUUGACAUACAUAAAAAAAAUAAUUAAAUGCUAAGAAUGUAAGAUAAAGACAAUACUCUUCAAAAACUUCAGAAAAUUUGCAUAUAUACUCACCAACCAAGUAGUCACAAUCAUAAGAACCACCUACUAUGUCAGAAAUUGGAACAAACUUAAAAUCAGAACCACUCACUAAUGCACCACACAAUGGCAAACAUUUUGUUCCAAAUUGGAAGUUCAGCUUAUAUGGAUGAUGGGUGGUCUUAUAGCUCCCCCCAUUAGCAGCAACACCCAUGUUUUCAAAUGAAUAAACUUUGCCUUCGCGAAUUUCAGAUUGAAACUUAUACCAUAGAGUUUUUUUGAUUGAGGCAUGAAUCCUACUCCCCUAUAUAAAGUUCAAAAAUUUAGAAUUAGUUUUCAAGAUAUAGCUAAAACCAUAAUCUAACAUUCACCAUUCUUCAUAAUACAAUAGCUUUCUGAUUCAUUAUAAAAAUUACUAAUUCUUUAACUUUAAUCAUCAUCUUUAUAAUAUAAGCACAAAACAUAUAACACACCUUUUUAAAGUGACAAUGUUAUAUAUCAACAACAUAAGUAAAACCAAAUCAUUACUUAUAAGGUUCAAAAUUAGUGAAAAUGUAAAAUUAAAAAGAAGAACCUCAUAAUCCUUAACUAUAUCUCAACAAAUAUUAGCACUAAACAUAAAACAAAACUUAAUUUUUGAUAGCUUAUAAAAUUAAAACUAAUAACAUUUAGCUUAUUCAAAAACAACAGUUUUAAAAAAACAUCAUAAUUUGAAUGUAAAAUGGUAAGUGAAAAAUAAAAACCUCAGAAUCCAUUAACACCAUUUCAAUAGAAAAUGGUAAAGUGUUUCUGUUGAAAUCAGAAAGUUUCCAUAAUCUAACAACUCUAGCCUUAAUGUUUCCAGCUGGUUUUGAUGAAGAAAUUUGUGAAAUUGGUUCAAAAGUUAAAGCCAUUGCAGAAAAUUGAAAGUGAAAUUGCAAGAAUAAAGCUUAGGAUUGAGAAAGAUUGAGAUUGCAAUUGUAAUUGCGGUGUGGUUAUCACAAAUCCUAAAGCCCUCUUUAUAUAGACCCCAUGAAACCCUAAAGUUGAAUUUUUAAUUACAGAAAAAAAGAUUGAAAUUUGAAUAGUUCCCCCCAAUUUUUACCUUGAACCAAUUGCAGUAGAAACUCCCUCCAAAGUUGCGAUAUCAAUGGCAAGUGAUUGGACCUUAAUUGUGCUUCAGGUUUCAAUAUGAGAAAUAGAGGAAGGAAUGGAAAUUUAUUGAGCCGUGAGCAAUUGGGUGUUGUGCAGUUUUAGCGUAAUAGCAUGUAUUGGGAUCGAUCUAGUAGAAUAGGGAAUAAAGCAAAUGUCUUCUUUGAUCUAAUAUACAAAAAAAUUGCAGAAGCAUUUAUGAUGAAGAGAUGUUUUGAGUGGCUUAACACUGUAUAUGAACGUGAGAAAGAGAGAGAGAUGGUCAGACACAAAAUAUUGACUAUUAUUUUAUAAAUAAUAUUGUUGUUUAGUCAUGCGGUCCUGUUUUUUUUUUUUUUUUUGUUGAUCAUUAUAAGAUUGGGCCAUUGUUAAUUGGGCUUGUGAUUCCCGCCAAGUUAAUUUGAAUGAAACAUUAUUAUUGGUUGAUCAUCAUUCAAGCUAUAUUAAGUAUGCUUUUUGUAUUUUAGUGAAAGCUUGAUUCCUUUGUGACAUGAUUAAAAGAUUGACACCUGUUUUUUUAUACCCUAAAAGUGUUUUUCAUUUGUGUAGUUUAAAGAUAUCAUAUAGAUCUUCUAUGUAAAAGUUUACUUAAAUCUUAAAUCAUUUGAUAUGUUAUUGAGACCCAUUAAAAAUAAUGGUUUGUGUGUCUUUAUUGAACAUUGUCCAUUUGAAUGACUCUCAAUAACAUGUCAAAUGAUAUUAGAUGUGUAAAGUUUUACAUAAAUGAUCUAUAUAAUAUAAAUUUACAAACAGUUCCGAUAAUUGUUCAUUACCAACUUUGGUUACUCUUGUUUUAAAGAAAAGCUUGUUGCACUUUUUAAUACUUUUUUUUUCUAAGAACAUUGAAGGAACACUUUUUAAUACUUAUUAUUAUUAUUAAUAAUCAUUGAUAAUCAGGUUUUUUUUUUCUAUUUCAUUGUAUCAUAUUAUAUUUACGAGAAGUGAAAAGGCAUAUUCUCUCUGUUAACUGCUAUGUUGCAUCUGAUUAUCAAAGAUUGCCUUGUUUCAUUUGGGUACCUAUGGAAACAAAAUCAAUACUUGCUCCUCAAUGAAAUCGUAAUUGACUUUGUGUACCUACGAAAACAACAUCAAUCCUUGUCUUGUUUCAUUUGUUAUCAUAAUUAUAAUUAUAUAUUUUGUAAUCAUUUUAGUAGAAAAUAUAUGCUUUAAUUUUAUACUCAGGUUUAUUUUUAAAGAAGGGUAAAAUUGGAAUAAAUAGUUAUAACUCAUUCUAUUAUGUCAACAAUUCAAACAAUGGGACGGUAAAUUUAUUCUGAUCCAUCAUAAAAUGGAAUGUACUAUCUGUUCCUCUCCAUUCUGUUAUAUUUCAUUCCGCUCUAUUUUAUUAUGUUUCAUCAAUUCAAACAAAGCUUUAUAUAUUGGUGAAAAACACAUUUUACCAUCUUUAAAAAAAAGUCAGACAAUCAGCAAGAGACAGUCAACAAAUAACUCACUUGCAUGUAUUGAUUAUAUUCUCUGUUGUUUAAUUCACCUUCAUAGACUAGCAUAAAUCUUUAUACUAACAAUUUAGAGUUUUUAGAAAUAGCUUAUUUCAAAAUCCUUUCCUCUAAAGAUGUCCACAUCAUCAUAAUCCUACUUGGCAUUUGUUCCAAAAAUUUCUCCUAAUUUUUAAUACAAGCUUAAUAAUUAUUAUUAUUAUUAAAAACCGUUUUUUUAUUAAUCAUUAAAUUGUACAUAAAAUACAUAGUUGGUUACAAUCAAAUAAUUAUUAAUAUAGUAAUUAUUUCGAUUAAAAUUUAUAUGUUACAUUAAAAAUUUGUAUGUUAGAAUCAAAUGAUUAUUAAUAUAAUUAUUAUUCAAUUAACAUUUAUAUGCUACAUUAAAAAUUUGGUAGGUUACAAAAUUAUAAUAAAUAACUUGAAUAAAUUAUAUUUUGAAUUUUGGUCGUUACACUAUGACAGUAACCUAUUAAUUAAAAAUUUAAUUGUAGUAAAUAGUUUUUAAGGUUAUAUGAUUAAUUUUUAUUCGUUACAAAAUUAUAAUAUUAAUAAGAUAUUAUUAAAUUUCAAAUGUUAUGAAGUUAUUUUUUGUAGGUUACAUGAAAUAUAAUAUAAUCUUUUAAUGCGCAUUUUAUAAUAUUAAAUAUGUUGAUAAUAUUAAUUUUAAAACGGCCAAAUUAAUAAUUAAUAGAUAUUAACCGUUAUGGUACUAUUUUUCUAUAUAAAUAGUAGCGCUUUUGGGUACGAGUACACAACAAUCACAAAAUAUAGCUCUUCUUUUUCUGUUAUCUGGUUCUCUGAUAUCUAUUCUAAGUAAUUUUUGUAAUUUUUUCUAUUGCAAAGAAAAAUGUCUACGAAACACUACUUCAUCUCUGAUGUUUCGCCAAAAAAAUAAUCGUGGACAUUGGUUGUGAGGGGUGUUCGUUUCAAGACUACAAAAAUAAAAAACUACAAUUUUCUAAGGUGUUGGUUCUAAUGGAUCGAAAGGUACUUUUUUCAUACCGUUUUUUUUUUUUUUUUUUUAAGUAUAGUGUUUUAAUCUUUGUUAUCUAGGGUGAUCGAAUAGGUGAGUUUAUACAAAGAACAUUGAUCUACAAGUUCAAGGAGCAGCACUAAGAGGGAAUGGUGUUCACGGUUUCCUCAUUUGAUUUUGCUUGCAACGGUGGUUCGUAUAGACCAUCACACAACGAAUACAAACUGAAUUUUACAAUUAACACAAAAUUCAAAAUAUCUAAAUCUUCUUUGGUCCCUACAAACAUGUAUUCGUUUACACUGCAUAUGAUGUUUUCAAUGAUUCUUAGGACAUGAAAUAUAAUUUGAAUCAUAUUUUUAGGUUUUUUCUAGAUUACCUUUGAAGAAUGGUGGGUAAUUUACCCACCAACCAAUGAAAAUGAGCAAUUUGUUGGUGGGGUCAAGAUAGUUCAUGGAAACCACUUAAAAUGUGCUUAUGUAGCUAAUGUGUAUUGGUUGGGGUAAAUUACCCACCAUUCUUCCAUGGGUACCCUAGUUGUCACCAUAUUUUUAUCAUCAAACUAAUUUCAAACCCCCAUCCAUUUCUAACAAUAUGAAAUAAAUUAUAUAUUUAUGUAGUUGGUGUCUUGACUGGGGUGGAUUUUGUUUGUAUGAAGACCUCAAAUCAAUUAUAAUAAAAACCCUUCAAGCACAAGAUGUGUCCAAUAAAGGAAAAUACAUUUUUCAAUUUCAUAGAUACAAAAGAACCAAAUCAUGAGGUAAAAUAACGAAGACAAGUAGAAAGAUUAUUCCACCAACAUUUUAACUCAAAAUACAUACAUGAUUUCUUAGCAUUUUGUAUCCAGUAAACGAUAAAUAUAAAUUUAUCUAACAACACCAUAAACUGAUUCUUGUGACAUAAAUGCAAGAAUUUUUGUCUUUCCAAAUAAUCCAUGCAAGUCAGCAAAAUUAACUAAAAACUAAAACAAACUUUUUUUUGAACAAUUGAGAACUUGAAAUGAAGAGUAUCCUCACAAUAAUUAAUUGGAAGAUCACAAUAAUUUCAACCACUUUAGAGUAUUAUGUCAUAUGCUACUAAAGAAUUCACACAAAAAAUAAAAAAGAUAAUUCUCCUGUUUUUCACAUCUGCCAGAACAUAAAAAUAAGUCCAUAUUUUAACUACUCCAUCAAGCUAAGUUGUCAUUUAUUAGAAUUCAGAUAUUCAAGAGCCUCCACGAAAAGAGAGACAUUUAGAGGAGCUACUUUGUUCCUAAUGAGAUUUUUUAGAGCCAUAGGUUCAUCAUGCUCCACUUGCAACUAGAUGAUAUACCCAUUUGUCAGGGUACCUUUCACCAUGAUCAACUUUAAAGAAACUUAUCAAAAACGCUAGCCUUAAAAAUAAUGUUGUCCAACAAAUAACAACAAUAUAUCCCCUGCACCUCAUUCCAAAAAAAAUCUAUGACAUCGUCUCCACCCCAUCCAACCCUAACCUACGUAUCUCCUUAAAUGGCAUAGAGUUAUUUUGAUAUAAAUCAAAAGUUCUUCUAAAUAUAUCACACAAAGGACCACUCUACAACCACGAAUUAUUGCAAAAAAAGGAGUAUUUUUCUCAUUCUCUCCACUAUCAUCAAGUUGUCAUCAAACCAAUUUUUAAUCCUCAUCUCCGCCCCUAUUUUAACACCAUGGAAGUAAUUUUACCACACAUAUGCCUAAUUGUCCCCACUCUUCACAUGAACUCACCCAACCUAUUCUAAGAAGCUAAAACUUUAAAAUGCAAACUCAUUGAUCCAUAUUAGCCUCCAAAACUAUUCACGUAACAAAGAUAAGAUGAAAUUCUGCAUUAUACGAACCCUCAAGCAACAACUAUAUCAACCAUGACACACCUUAUCUCACUUAACCCAAUUGACUUUCCUAGCUUCCGCACUCUCUCCACACUAAAAAUAAUAAGGAUUCAAUAAAAUAAUUUUUAUUUAAGUAAGCCUUGAAGAAUGAAAGAAAUUAAACCAAUUGUGGUGGAUAUUGAAGGAGAAUACAAAGAUACAUUACAAGAAUAUUGAAUUGAAUUUGAAUGGGUGAAAUCGAUUUGUUUUUAUUUUUAAUAUAUAAUACAUUAUGAUAUUUAAUUAUUAUUUUAAUUAUUUGUCGAUUAAUUUUUAAGAGAUAUCAAUUUGAACGUACUCUUUUUUCUAUCUUCCGGUAAAUUUAAAAAGGCGAAUCUGACAAAUUUUUGUUGGCAAAAGUUAAGUUGUUCCUAGGUAUGUAUUUAUAACUAUCGACUUGAUUAUUUAAUACCAUUGAAACAUUCAUAUUUAUUCAUUUACUUGAACCAUUUUAUUUGUUUCUUUAGAGAUUGGAAAACGAUGUUACAAAAUUCUUUUCAAUCAACUAAGAUCAAAUUCAACCGUUAAAUUAUGGAGACAAAAAGAAAUAAAGAAAAUGUAUGCUUAUUUUGAGGAAGGAGAUUUUUUCCACAAUCCUUUUAGUAAAUACAUUUUCUAAUAAAUGGUAAAACAAUUACCUUUAUUUUUAGUUGCCCGAUCUAUCCCACAUUAGCAUACCAGAAGAAUUUUUUAACCUUACUCUUAGGAUCGCCAUUGAGGAGUUGAAGAACUUGCAUGAAAUUGAGUGGGUUGACAUAGAUCUCCUAUCUUUUUCUUCCCAUGUUUGAUGGAGGUUUUAGUUUGUGGAUUUUGGUUAGGAACAUUAAGAAGGAGGAAGUGUUUGCUUGAAAAAAAGGGGAAAUGAUGAAUUCGAAAUCAUAACUACACUAAAACAAAACGAAAUUAGGUUAGACUCUUUUAAUUUGUGACCAUUGAUCUCUAAUUAAAAAAAAAAUGAAGAGACAAGAUUAAAUAAAAUUGUUUUCUCAAAUUUUUCUCACUAGAGAUAAUUUGCUUCCGAGAGAAAUACUCUCUCCAAUAUUUUUUUAGGAACUCUCUCCAAUCUUAGAUAUAAAAAAUAAACAACUACCUUAUAUUAUCUUAAAUUAAAAAAAAUAUAUAACUUACUUUGACUCUAUUUAAUGUUAUUUAUCCUAAUAUACAUUUUAAUUCAUGUAAGUUUUAUUUUUUAUUCUCAUGAAACAAGUUCCAAUAGAUGGUACUUUUCAUAAAUUUAUCUUUUUUUAGAAACAUUCGAGAAAACUAAUUGCAUAUAAGUAAAUUUUUUAACUUAGAUAUUUUUUUUAUAAUUGAAAUCCGAGAGACUAUUUUGAGUAAAUAAAAAAAGUAAUAGCUUUAUUCAAAGUGGUAGAUUUUUUAUUAUAUUUUUAUAAGACAAGAGCAAAAAGAAUAAUCUCAAUUAAGUUGGUACCCUACUUUAAUCGAUUGUCAAUUGCUCAUAUAUAUUAUUAAAAAAAGGAAAAAAUUAUAUGAAAUUUGGGAGGACAAAAAAUCUGAAGCAGUCAAUCCAAGUGGAUCCACCCUAACGGGUAAUACAUAAAAAAAAAGAUCAACAAAGUGGAUUCAACCCUAAUGAAUUCUAACAAACGAAUACCAUUAACGAUAGGCGUUUGUGAGGGCAAAGCGGGUCUAUAAUUUGGUGAAUUGAUCGAUCUUCAUCACAAAAUCAGAUCACGUGCCAUCAACUCCCUGCAACAACGGCAACAAGCAUUAACGACUCUUUCAAGUUCACACAGUCUCAUGUCAAUCAAGGAUUAAUGGGAUACGAAACAAAAACAUAUUCUUGAGAGUGUGGAGUAGAUUCAACCGCCAACACGGUAAUUAACAAAUCCACACGCACUAACAGUUUACUGCUAUGAUCAACAUCAAAUUAACAGUCAUUUCUGGCCCAACAUAGAACCGCAACCACCUCCAAAGAAAUGGAGGAGACGACAGAUUCUAAUGACCCACAAUAACCAAUCCACACGGCGGCGAAAAAGGUCUAAAACGGUGGCAAAAUAGAGGAUAAAGAACGGACCCUUUCGGGUUUCAACCAAACCAAUGCGGGGUUCUGCCAUUGAGAAGCCAACACACAGAACCAAACAAGAUCGCUAGUGACAACCAACAAUUUAUGAAUACCAACAACUCAGCAACCACCACCCGUAGCAGAUGCGAUACUGGUUGAAUCGGAAACCAACGACAGGAAUUGUUGUGGGAACCGGAAAAAGGGUGGUGCGGGGGGACGACGCCACUCAUCGCACCAUCGUUGCAUGUUGGUACAUCGUAAGUGAUGAAGGUAUCAAAAAAAGGGGGUGAGGUGGCAGAAGAUUUCUAAAGAGAGGGCAGAGCCAUAAUGGUAGAUUAUAACAGAUGUAAUCAUACCUCUUAUUAAUUAGAUAUAUUUUAAGCAUAAUUGUACUUUUUCUCACUAUUUUAAGCAGAGUUGGCAUGUCCCUGCCAACUCCAUCUCAAUUUUGAAUAUGAAGAUAAAGUACUACAUAAUAUCAAAAUUCUGAAUCAAAUCAAACUAAAAAAAUCAAAUAAUAUCUAAAAAAACUUAUUUAUGUGUAAACCCUGUUAAAACAUUUUAAAUAAAAUGUAUCCCGUGCUUGGCACGGGGCGUUACACUAGUAUCAAAUAUAUUUGUGUAAAUGUCUCAAAACAAUUACAUCACAUCAAAUUAAAAUUAUUCAAUAGGUUGUCAAUAUAUGCUUGAUUUAAUAAAGCACCUUUUCCAAAUUGUGUAUUAAACAAUAUUUUAGAUGGAAAAGAAAUACAAAUUGAAAUGAUAAUUUUCCUUAAAUCUACACAAAACAUACAUAGGUGUCCAUUAUAAAAUAUUUUUACGUGUUACAUUUUAAAAUACUUAUAUUAAUUUGUAUUUUUCGUUAAAAAAAACUAAUUUGUAUUUCAAUAAAAAAAAAAAAAAAAAAAACUCAACAACAGCGUAACGCGUGGGCCUCAAUCUAGUUUAAUAUUAUUGUUAAAUAACUUGGGGGAGUUGAUCAAAAGCUAAAUGAGAAUAACCAAGGAUACUCAACAUCAACCUCAUUAAAAUAUUUAGGGGUGUAACAGUUUGAUUUGGAUUGGUUUUUAGUCAAAAAAAUAUUUGAAUCGAUGAAACCAUCGAUUUGGAUUGGUUCAGUUUUGACUAUUUUUUAAAAAAGAAAUCGAACCAAACUAAUCGGUUUGAUUUGGAUUGGUUUAGUUGAUCGAUUUAUUUAAAAUUAUCAUUAAAAAACACAAUACAAAUAUGCUUUUCUUAUGUUUUCUUUGGGAAAAGGGGCUGUUUUGUUGUGUGAUUUUUUUCCCUCCGUAAGAAAGCAGCUAAGGAUAUACCCAAGCAUAUUUUCUUUGACUGUCCCUCUAAUAAUUUUUUUUUUGGUGUCCCUUUCAUAAACUUCUUUGAAAGGGGUUGUGCCUUUGAUUGUCCACUUAAUAAAUAUUAUACAUAGAACAAACUAUAAUCUUAUAUGACCAACUCUAUAAUGCACAAGUGAGACAAGCCAAGCAUCUAAUUUUCACAAUUUGAUCAAUAAACCCCACUAUUAAAUUAAAUAUGACAUGAUAUGGCUUAUUGAUCAAAUGUUAGAAAAAGAUACUUGUACAUGGUGUAAUGGAUCAAAUUAGAAAGAUGUAAUGUUACACCGUUCAAUAUUGUUUUACUCGAUAAAUAUUUGUCAAAUUUGAUCGUUGGAUUGUAAGAUUAUAUCAUAUAGAUCUUCCAUGUAAAAGUUUACUUAAAUCUUAAAUCAUUUGAUAUGUUAUUGAAACCCAUUAAAAAUAAUGGUUUGUGUAUCUUUAUUGAACAUUGUCCAUCUCGAUGAGUCUCAAUAACAUCUCAAAUGAUUUUAAAUGUGUAAAAUUUUACAAAGAUGGUCUAUAUAAUAUAAAUUUACAAUCCAACGUUCAAACAUAAAAAAAAUAUGUAUCGAAUAAAAUGACGUUAUAUAAUGUAACAUUGAUGGGACAUUACAUCCAUGGAAUUUAACCACUCCUAUAUAUAUAUACCGAAUAAUACAUAGUUUCAUAGAAAAAUUACAAUUCCUGUUCAUCUAAAUCUUUUCUAGACAAAAAACCGUUUAUUUAAAAAAAAUAUAAAAUCAAAAAACUCCAAAAGCACUCAACUUAUUGUUGGAAAAUUUAGUUUAAUAUAUAUAUUUUUUUUUUGCAAUAACUUAUGGGACAACUCCUAUCAUAUUGGCUACUGCCUUAAUCAUCUGAUUUGACUAGUUUCCUUUCUUUUUUUUUUUAGGAAUUUUCUGUACUUCAAAUCAGAGGUAUUGUGUUGUUCAAUUUAGCCGGCAUAAAGAUUAAACAUUGUUAAACACCAUGGUCAUUCUUUAAUGUAUACUAGAUCGCCGACCCGUGCGAUGCACAGGUCCCAUCCACAAUUAUAGAGAUAAAAAAGCUAUAGUAUUAUAUAUUUUCAUUGAGUUUAAAUACUCUUUCUGGUUACAUUUAUAACCAAAGACAAUUUUUGAGGUUCGUUGAAUAACUAAAGUAACUGAUUUAUAAAAAUAUCAGAUACAUUAAUUAUUGAAUGAAUCUAAAAUAUAUAUUUUUUUAUUAUAAAUGUUAUCGGGGGAAGUAAGUCUUAGGAAAUUGUAUUACCAUAAGAUAUACUAAACAUUUAUAUUGUUUAGGAAUGAGUUACAAACAACAUUAUUAUUAUUAUAAAUUACGCAAUACUUCCAUCUAAAGACUCAUUUUCAUUUGAUUGCUCUCAAAACCUAUUUCCAUGUAAGUGUUUUUUUAUGUAAUCACAACACCUAUUUGAAAAACAACAUUAAAAACAAUUUAUAAGAAUGAUUGAGCAUUAUCAUCUAUAUGUGGCAGUGAGCAAAGAUACAAAGUAAAAGGAUAAUCAAACAGUUACUAUUUGUUGGAUGAUGAAAACAUGAAGACAUUAAAAGCUAGCAUGAAUUCCUUCGUUUUUUAUUCUUGGGUUUUGCACUGGUUUCCGACGCACCAAAGAUGGACGAUUAAUCCGGCUCGUGCAUAAAGGCAUUCGCAUUGGUUAAGCGUUGUUCCUCCUGAGAAUAGAAUCCGGUAUUUCACGGAUACGUCAUUGGUAGGAGCUCCUUGCCACUGGAGCCCAAACAACUUAGUUAGAAUUCCUUCGUUUUUAUGCGAGGAGAAAAUAUCUUUCAUUAAAAGCUAGCAUAUGAUUUCCUUUUUAAAAAUAAAUAAAUAAAUAACCCAUUUUUUAUUCACAAAGAUAUUUAUAUUUUCCUAAUUGUUGAUCAACAUUCAUUUAUAUAUAAGUAUUACACCAUCCAGUCACAAAUAUAACCAUAAAUUCCUAUUUUUUUUAUUCAAUUAAUAAUGUAUGUGGUCUUUACUGUAAACAACAUACAUUAUUUAUUGAAUAAAUAAAAAAUAUGAAGUUUUGCUUAUAUUUAUAUCAGAAGGAUGCAGUCUUUAUCCCAUUAUUUGCUAUUGAUGUGAGGAAAACAUGAAAAACAAUGUUAUCGGCAAUCGAGGUCCUUAUACUUGUAUAUAAGUUCAUUUAUAAACUACCUUUUCACAUGUGGAGUUUUUUACGCUAUGAGUAGAGAUUAAUAUUAAAAUUUUGCUUAGAGAAGAUAUAUAACCUCAUACCAGAAACAAUAACGGAAAUCUAUGAGAUUAAGGCACAAGUUAAAAACUAAAAAUAGAAAUAUUUUCUUAUGAAUUGUGUAUUUAAGGUUGUAAAGUUUAAAUGUUUAAUUAUUUAUAUUUCAAUACAAAAUUAAUUUUUAACUUCCUUUUUUACCUUCUUAACUUGUGUUCUAACACAAAAAAUAAAGCCAAAAUAAGGGAAACGGACGCAACCACAGAGAUAAUUAAUAUAACAAAACCAAACACCAUAAAAGAAAUCCUUCCUAAUUUGUCAUAUGAAUCACUGUAUGAAAAGCAAGAAUUCUAUUAUAACAAUGUAUCCCUCUUUAUAUUAGCCUCGUCAAUAUUAGUUCUUUCAACCCUUAAUCACAAUCAAAGUAGUUAUAUUUUGACUUUGACAAAUUUCAAAUCCGCUACCUCUUCUCUACACAUAUACUGAUCAUUUCUUUUCUCUCCCAUAAUAUUAGAUAAUAUAUUAAUCCUUUCAUUUCACUUGCAAUGGACAUUAGCCUUGCUGAUAUUAGUACUUAUAAGAAAAUUAAUUAUACAAUUAGAAUGUAAAAAAUCCAACGGUGGACUAAUUCAAAGGAAUCUUAAAUUUAGAAUCUUACAUGAAAUCAUGCUCAUGCAUAAUUUUUAAAAGGGUUAAAUAUGUUUUUGGUCCUUACGUUUUGCACGAUUUUGAGAAUUAGUCCUUACAUUUCAAUAAAUGUUUUUAAAAUCCCUACAUUUUUCCUGAGUUAGUGUAAAUAGUCCCUGUUGUCAAAUUUCUAACGUGAUGCCAAUGUUGGCGGUUCAAUCUCGCCGGAAAAUGGCGGAGAACUUCACCACGAACUUUCUCCGCAGCUUCGUAGAUGCGGAUCGCCGGUGUUCGUCACACUUCUGGUGAAAUAUGUUGGUUUAGAGGGGAAGAUUUGGAGGCCGAAAGCGAUGAUGUUAUCGUUGAAAGCGCUUGUUGUUGCGGGUGUGGAAGGUGUUGUGGUGGAGAUUUGGUGGGGUGGGGUUGAACUUGUUAUGAUGGCCUGUGUUUCAUCAACAUGGCACUGAUGGCAGGGACCAAUUGCACUAACGGAGAAAAAAUGUAGGGAUUUUAAAAACAUUCAUUGAAAUGUAGGGACUAUUUUCAAAAUUGCGCAAAAUGUAGGGACCAAAAACAUAUUUAACCCUUUUUAAAAUGAAAUCCUACAUAAUUUCAUUUUCAGAGGAAGACAUUUGAAAUAAAAAAUGAAAUUGUUGAAAUUUGGGGCCUAACUCAUCCUUACAAAACCGGCUUGUAAGGUGAGGAGUGCCUCCUCUUUAUAUACUCUUCUCGAGAGUUUUGUCUAUCCGAUGUGGGACUUAGAUUUUUCCCAAUACACCUCCCUCACGCCCAGCACUCUUUGAGCUUGGUGCGUGAAUAGGUUUAGGCGGCCCUUGAAUUCGACAAGCUCUGAUACCAUGUUGAAAUUUGGGGCCUAACUCAUCCUUACAAAACCGGCUUGUAAGGUGAGGAGUGCCUCCUCUUUAUAUACUCUUCUCGAGAGUCUUGUCUAUCCGAUGUGGGACUUGGAUUUUUCCCAAUAGAAAUCAUGCAUAAUUGAACUCCAUUUGAACUUUCUAAGUCAAAAGAUAAAAAAAUUAAGCCUAAUUUCAAAAAGAAAUAAAAAAAAUUAACUACAUGAACCUACAAUGCUACAAUAGGUUAAGGUAGAAGACAUGAAUAAUAACUUGAGAAGUAAUGUGAAUGAUAGAAAGACACACAUAGAAGUUAAAACAAAAUUCAUGCAAAAAUUAACAAAAUAACAGUCUCACCAAAAUACCUUUCAAAGCAUCACCAACUCAUAACAGUCUCAUUCUCCAUCAUAUCAACAUAUGAACUCAAAUCUAUAGCCAUACAGCCAACAAUAAAAUAAGAAAAGAAUUAACAAAAUUCAUAAAUCAAAAAGGAUAAUAAAAAAAGAUGAAAGAAAUUAUGGGGGGUGACCGGAAAGAGAAGGAAGAAUAAGAUUAUAGAAGGGGAGAGGUGAAGUUGUGAGAGAGGUAGAUAAGAGAAAAAGCCACCAAAUUUAUAUACUCUAUAAAUUUCUAAUGCAUCUAGCAUGUGCAUACAUUCCGGUUAAUAGAACUGCAUCAUUAAAAAAUAAAUAUUGAUUUUAAUGUGCUGCCAACAUUGGUAAUCUUUAAACUACACAAAUGAAAAACACUUUUAGGGUAUAAAAAAAACAGGUGUCAAUCUUUUAAUCAUGCCACAAAGGAAUCAAGCUUUCACUAAAAUACAAAAAGCAUACUUAAUAUAGCUUGAAUGAUGAUCAACCAAUAAUAAUGUUUCAUUCAAAUUAACUUGGCGGGAAUCACAAGCCCAAUUAACAAUGGCCCAAUCUUAUAAUGAUCAACAAAAAAAAAAAAAACAGGACCGCAUGACUAAACAACAAUAUUAUUUAUAAAAUAAUAGUCAAUAUUUUGUGUCUGACCAUUAACAUAUCAAAUGAUUUAAGAUUUAAGUAAACUUUUACAUAGAAGAUCUAUAUGAUAUAUUUAAACUACACAAAUGAAAAACACUUUUAGGGUAUAAAAAAACAGGUGUCAAUCUUUUAAUCAUGUCACAAAGGAAUCAAGCUUUCACUAAAAUACAAAAAGCAUACUUAAUAUAGCUUGAAUGAUGAUCAACCAAUAAUAAUGUUUCAUUCAAAUUAACUUGGCGGGAAUCACAAGCCCAAUUAACAAUGGCCCAAUCUUAUAAUGAUCAACAAAAAAAAAAAAAAAACAGGACCGCAUGACUAAACAACAAUAUUAUUUAUAAAAUAAUAGUCAAUAUUUUGUGUCUGACCAUCUCUCUCUCUUUCUCACGUUCAUAUACAGUGUUAAGCCACUCAAAACAUCUCUUCAUCAUAAAUGCUUCUGCAAUUUUUUUGUAUAUUAGAUCAAAGAAGACAUUUGCUUUAUUCCCUAUUCUACUAGAUCGAUCCCAAUACAUGCUAUUACGCUAAAACUGCACAACACCCAAUUGCUCACGGCUCAAUAAAUUUCCAUUCCUUCCUCUAUUUCUCAUAUUGAAACCUGAAGCACAAUUAAGGUCUAAUCACUUGCCAUUGAUAUCGCAACUUUGGAGGGAGUUUCUACUGCAAUUGGUUCAAGGUAAAAAUUGGGGGGAACUAUUCAAAUUUCAAUCUUUUUUUCUGUAAUUAAAAAUUCAACAUUAGGGUUUCAUGGGGUCUAUAUAAAGAGGGCUUUAGGAUUUGUGAUAACCACACCGCAAUUACAAUUGCAAUCUCAAUCUUUCUCAAUCCUAAGCUUUAUUCUUGCAAUUUCACUUUCAAUUUUCUGCAAUGGCUUUAACUUUUGAACCAAUUUCACAAAUUUCUUCAUCAAAACCAGCUGGAAACAUUAAGGCUAGAGUUGUUAGAUUAUGGAAACUUUCUGAUUUCAACAGAAACACUUUACCAUUUUCUAUUGAAAUGGUGUUAAUGGAUUCUGAGGUUUUUAUUUUUCACUUACCAUUUUACAUUCAAAUUAUGAUGUUUUUUUAAAACUGUUGUUUUUGAAUAAGCUAAAUGUUAUUAGUUUUAAUUUUAUAAGCUAUCAAAAAUUAAGUUUUGUUUUAUGUUUAGUGCUAAUAUUUGUUGAGAUAUAGUUAAGGAUUAUGAGGUUCUUCUUUUUAAUUUUACAUUUUCACUAAUUUUGAACCUUAUAAGUAAUGAUUUGGUUUUACUUAUGUUGUUGAUAUAUAACAUUGUCACUUUAAAAAGGUGUGUUAUAUGUUUUGUGCUUAUAUUAUAAAGAUGAUGAUUAAAGUUAAAGAAUUAGUAAUUUUUAUAAUGAAUCAGAAAGCUAUUGUAUUAUGAAGAAUGGUGAAUGUUAGAUUAUGGUUUUAGCUAUAUCUUGAAAACUAAUUCUAAAUUUUUGAACUUUAUAUAGGGGAGUAGGAUUCAUGCCUCAAUCAAAAAAACUCUAUGGUAUAAGUUUCAAUCUGAAAUUCGCGAAGGCAAAGUUUAUUCAUUUGAAAACAUGGGUGUUGCUGCUAAUGGGGGGAGCUAUAAGACCACCCAUCAUCCAUAUAAGCUGAACUUCCAAUUUGGAACAAAAUGUUUGCCAUUGUUUGGUGCAUUAGUGAGUGGUUCUGAUUUUAAGUUUGUUCCAAUUUCUGACAUAGUAGGUGGUUCUUAUGAUUGUGACUACUUGGUUGGUGAGUAUAUAUGCAAAUUUUCUGAAGUUUUUGAAGAGUAUUGUCUUUAUCUUACAUUCUUAGCAUUUAAUUUUUUUUUUUAUGUAUGUCAAAUUAGAUGUUAUUGGAAUGUUGACGGGUGUUGGCACAGAGAGAGAAUAUGAACGCAAUGGCAGUGCUACCAAACUCAAUGUCAUUGCCAUGGAAGCUGAUGGGUAGGGAAGUUUAAAGUUUUCUUAUGAUUCUGACUAAGCAAUAUUUUAUAUAUCUUACAUUCUUAUAUUUUUUUUACCCAUCUUAUAGAUACAAGCUUCAGUGCACUUUGUUUGGGACUUAUGUAGAUAAGUUGAACACGUUUUUGGCAACUGGUGAAACUGCUAAUGUUGUAGUGUCUAUUCAACUAGCUAAGGUGAAGGUUUUUCAAGGUAUUAUAACUUAUCACAUUAAUAAUGUUUUUGUUUUUGUUGAAAUAUUAUCUUUUAUCUUUUAUUAUGUGAACUUAUUGAAAACUAAUUCUAAAUUUUUGAACUUUAUAUAGGGGAGUAAGAUUCAUGCCUCAAUCAAAAAAACUCUAUGGUAUAAGUUUCAAUCUGAAAUUCGCGAAGGCAAAGUUUAUUCAUUUGAAAACAUGGGUGUUGCUGCUAAUGGGGGGAGCUAUAAGACCACCCAUCAUCCAUAUAAGCUGAACGUCCAAUUUGGAACAAAAUGUUUGCCAUUGUGUGGUGCAUUAGUGAGUGGUUCUGAUUUUAAGUUUGUUCCAAUUUUUGACAUAGUAGGUGGUUCUUAUGAUUGUGACUACUUGGUUGGUGAGUAUAUAUGCAAAUUUUCUGAAGUUUUUGAAGAGUAUUGUCUUUAUCUUACAUUCUUAGCAUUUAAUUAUUUUUUUUAUGUAUGUCAAAUUAGAUGUUAUUGGAAUGUUGACGGGUGUUGGCACAGAGAGAGAAUAUGAACGCAAUGGCAGUGCUACCAAACUCAAUGUCAUUGCCAUGGAAGCUGAUGGGUAGGGAAGUUUAAAGUUUUCUUAUGAUUCUGACUAAGCAAUAUUUUAUAUAUCUUACAUUCUUAUAUUUUUUUUACCCAUCUUAUAGAUACAAGCUUCAGUGCACUUUGUUUGGGACUUAUGUAGAUGAGUUGAACACGUUUUUGGCAACUGGUGAAACUGCUAAUGUUGUAGUGUCUAUUCAACUAGCUAAGGUGAAGGUUUUUCAAGGUAUUAUAACUUAUCACAUUAAUAAUGUUUUUGUUUUUGUUGAAAUAUUAUCUUUUAUCUUUUAUUAUGUGAACUUAUAGUUACUAAUAUGUAAACUUAAUAAUAACAUAGUACUAUAGUUGUUGAUAACUACAUUUUGUCUUGAAUUGUAUAUCUGAAGUUAUAAAUAUGGUAUUUGUAGACAAUAUACACAUUCAAAAUUGUCUGAAUUGUACCCGGUUGAAGUUUAAUCCUGUUUGUGCUGAGGGUACUGCCUUUAAGAACAGGUACUAUAAUAUCAUUUUUUUAACUUGAAUUUUCCAUUCAUAUGUACAUACUAUUAUAAAGUUUUCAUCACUCUUAUGUUGCGGUACUAAUGGCUAAAAUUAUAUUUUCUAUGGCAUGAUUUAUAGGAUGAUUGAAAAUGAUGAUACACCAUCCCCUCUUACUCAGCUAGCUGUGGAACCAAGUAUUGACCCUUUGCAAGAUUUUUUAUUCAACACUCCAAGAACAACUAUUCAGGGAUUGAAGGAUUCUCAGCAGGUUUACCAUAAUCAUCAUUUCAUAACUACUUCAUUUUUUAAAAUAAGCACAUAUUAUUGUCUAUCUACUAAUAUUCAAUUUUAACCAAAAGCUUUGUUUUUUGUAUCAUUGUAGGAGGGGAUGUAUGUUGUGCUUGGAACUGUCAAACAGAUUGUGAACCCUGAGAAUUGGUACUACACGGCCUGUAUGUGCAACAAAUCUGUAUAUCCUGCUGAGGGGAUGCACUUCUGCGAGAAGUGUAAUAGGCAUGUGGUCAAAGUGUUUCCAAGGUCAAGACCAAACCACAUUGUUAAUGCUUUACAUGAUUAAGUAUGUAUUGUAACUGCAAUAUUAAAAUUAAAUCACUAACUCAUAUAUAAUUGCUGGAAAUGUAGGUAUUCUAUAAAGGUGCGAGUUGUGGAUGAUAGUGAUUGUGCAACCUUUGUUUUGUUUGACCGUGAUGCAACAAUGUUGUUCAAUAAAAGUUGUGCUGACAUUUUGGAAACACAUGUAAAAAAAAAAUAACUUUCACUUAUAUGUGUUACAUUCAGAUUUCUUUAUAUCAUAGGCUUUAACAUUUCAUUUCUGGUUCUUGGAUGAAUUUAGAGGGCUGACGAGGGUGUGCUUCCAACUGAGAUUGGUGCAUUGGUCAACUGCACAUACCUGUUCAAGGUUGAAUUCAAAACUGCUAUCAGUCCUAGAUUUGAGCAAUCAUUUAGGGUGAAGAAAGUGUGCACUGAUGGGGUGAUUAUCAACCAGUUUAAGGCAAAGUGGGCUAAGGAAGAAGCAACCUUUAUAAAAAAUACCAAUGUAUGUGAUUGUUUGUAUUUUAUUUAUGCCAUCAUGUUGUUGUUGUUAUUAUUAUUAUUAUUAUUAUUAUUAUUAUUAUUAUUAUUGCACUUUAAUUAUAAAGCGUGCAUUUUUUUCACUAUAUCAAUCAUAAUUAUCAAUUAACAGUAUUUAACAUCAACUUCAUUGUGUGAUUGAUUUUAUUAGGAGAUGGGGUCUUUGAGUUCUCUGUUGGACAAGGGGAAGGAUAUGUUAGUGGUUGGUUCAUCAAGUGUCCAAUCACAUGUAUACUUUCUUAUUGUUAUAAUUUAUGUUAUGAUUAUUUAUAUUUAUUAUUUAAAUUAUUAUUAAUUCAGCCUUUUAUUGCAUACAUUGUUGACUUCACUUUCAUCAUUGAAUUUUUAUAGGACCUUGGAAGUUUGAGCGAAACCAUUGAUAAAGACAAAAACAUCAUUGUUGAGGGAACACCUAUUGGAAUAUCUGAAGAUCUGUUGCCUAAAUUUUCUUCUGUUGCGGUUGACCUUGAUGUUGGUGCAUCAAAGAAAGUAUCUAACUGCUGUUUGGUCAAGUCAACUACACGCAAAAUUGUCAAAAGAGUUUUACCUCAACCUGAAAUUAAUGAAGUUGAGGAAAUCAACCUUCCCAUCAAAUUGCUCAAGAGGAACAUUAAGAUUGAAAAAAUUUAGUCACAUGAUUGACUGUACUUGGCUGGUUGUAGUUUGGUUUUUUUAGAUACCCGUGUCAUCAUGGCUGGAAAUGUUUGAUUAAGUUUAUGUGUUUUGCUAUGCAAUUCAAAAGGUCAAAGAUAUUGACCCUCUGUUAGUUUCUUCAUUUUGGUUGUAAUUUCUAAGUACAAUUUGAGUCCAGUGGCAGUGGGCCAAUUAGUAGUAAUCUGUUUAAGUCAGCUGUAAUCCCAGUUGCAGUGGACCUUUUCAUUUGUGGUUUAUUUAAGUUAGUAGUAGUCUUAUUUAAGUACUGUUUAAUCCCAGUGGCAGUGGGCCUGUUAUUUUGUAACUCUAAUGCCCAUGUGGCAGAUUUGGCAAUAGAGUGGUAUGUUUAAGUAAUUAUCAGUUUCUUUUUUAUUCAGCAAAUUGAUUUUUUAAUCAAGUCACUUUGUUGUCAUUCACUUUGCAUCACAUUUUCAUGGUAUUCCUUUAAAUAAUAUUUAAAAGUAACCGAACUAAAAAAAAUGAACUUCAUAGUUAAAUAUUUAAAUAUGAAGAAAGUCAUAUUUGCAAUGAAUCUACAACAACUUUCUCUCAAAAAAAAAAAUCUGAAUCUACAACUUGACCAGAUGACAUUCAAACUUUUUUUCGAUAACAACUUAUUAGAAAAUCUUCCUUCAGAAAAAAAAAAAAAACUUAUUAAGAAACUUUUUUCAGAUAGUUCUUUUGUAAGGAAAAUAUGUAGUGUUAUUUUUCUACAGCCAGCAUAAAACUUUAGUUUUCAUGGUUUUGUUCCAAAAAUUAAAAAAGAUUCAUUUAAGCCUUUACCCAUUACACGCAUGUGUAUCCUUUCUAUAUCCUCUGAUUUUUUGUGUUGGGAGUAUAUUUUUUUUUUCCUAAGGUAGAUUAUACAACAUUUAGCUGAUAACAUCCUUUAUAUCUUUUGAUUUUAUCGCUUUGUUUGUAACAUGCUUCUGUUUUCUAUUUUUUUUAAAGGCAAAGUAAUUUUCAUUAAUAAAAUGAGCACAAACAAUGCUAAUUUACAAAUUAAUAGUGCCAAGAAAUUUAUAUCAGUAGACACUUCAAAAAAAAAAAAAUUGUAAUCAGCAGCACAAAUCCACAACUCUGUCUAUCAAUAAACUCUCCCAUAAUUAUAAUUCUUUUAUCCAAUUCAAUCAAAUUGCUACUCCCUCUGUUUUUUAUCCAAUUCAAUCAAAUUGUUACUCCCUCUUUCAUAAUGAGUGAAAAUUUAUUUCAAAAUGAAUGUCACUUUACAUUUUUAAUAUAACUUUAAUUUUUUUUCUUCCAACUUUACCUUCAAUAAAUACUCAACCUUCUCUUACACAAUUUUCAAUGCAACUUUAAGUUUCUCUUUUCUUAUAAACUAUAGGUAGUUUAAUAAAAGUAUUAUGUCUAAUAAUUAUUUCAUUUCAUUUCUUAAUCUAUAUAUCAAAACUUUAAACGACACUCAUUGUAAAACAAAAGGAGCAUUAUUAAUUGAAAAAUUCAAUCACCGAUUAAUAGGAUUUGAUAAACGGUCUGUUACUUUUACCAGUUUCAAGAAAAUAGGAUAGGAUUUGAUAAAGUUUAUCAAUCCUACACACCUACUUUUUUCUAACCUAAAUUUGACUGUGACAUAUUUUGCAACAAGAGAAAUGCUUUUUCAUUUUUCGGUCCCAAUGAACUUUUUCUCACAUCAUAUCAGUAAAAAGCAAUAUAUAAUGACAAAUUUCAAUAGGUGUUGUACAUAGCCUUUUACUCUAUCAUAUGUCAUUUUUGUAUCUAUUAUCUAAUCUAUUUUCUAUAGGUUUACAACGAUUAAUAAAAAAAUAAAACCAAAAAAAUUAAUUUAAAUGGUUAAUGAGUUCCACCAAAAAUAAAUUAUUCAUAAGAAUUAAAUUUAAUUAUUGACUUAAUCAAUUUUCUAAGUUUCAAAUAGGUCUUUUAAUUUCAUAUAAAUUGUUAAUUUAAUGUAUCUAUUUGAAGUUUUUAUGUUUUAAAUAGAUACUUAAAAAGAUAAUAAGGACAUAUUUGAAACUUAAGGGACUGAUUUAACAUCUUUGUCAAACUUAAAGGAAAAAAUAGGUAUUUUGUCACAAAUAAAAUAAUUUCUUACGUUUAGUUCCUGACAUUAAUAUAAAAAAAAAUAUAAAAAAAAAGUUCCUGACAUUAUGACUAAAACAAACUAAUUCUUGAAUUGCAAAUUGGCUUAAUUCAAUAUUACUCAAUGGUUCUAGCAAACAACCUAAGGCCACACGUGACCUCUAUCACUAGCACAAGUUUUAGUUUGUGUUAUUGGUAUCUGAGCACUCUUCAUUUUCUUGGUUUGCUCAAAAGUAUUAUCCCUUCUAUCUCCUCAACAACCAAAUUCAUCAGCAUGGCAUGCUUCUAAUUUUCUUUUCCGGUUUAUAGAUCUAUUUUCAUAAUGUAUUGAUGUAUCUUUUGCACUUACAUGAUAAUUCAUAACACAACAUGGACUCUACAAAUGCAAAAAUUGCAAGGUUUAAGAGGAAGUAUGCAAUGAAGAAAAAUGCUAACAUCAAUGCUCCGUCAGCUGGAGGUAUGUGUAGUGUAUUUCACAAUUUGUUUCCAUGUUUCCUAUAGACUUUGACAUAUACAUGAUUUUGUUUAUCUUUUCCUUUAACUAUUGGCUCCUACAUUACCCCUCAAUGACAGAAAAUGUUAGGCCAAUGGAUAUAGUCUCCAACAAUAGUCAUCUCAGCAAAGCUACUGUGAACAAAAGAAAGGCAAAUCGAAUUCCUCUGUCCCUUUUAAAUCCAGGUAUUUCAUAAUGUAUAAGGGUUGUUUUUAUAUUAAAAUAGAAUAAAGGCUAAACAACACUUUUCGCCCCUAAGUUUUAUAAUGUUGCAAUUUUGAUCCCCUAUUAAAAAAAAUGGCAAAAGUGACCCCCCAAUGUUUAGGGAUAUAUGCUCUUUUGACCUUCUAACAUAAGGUAAAUAUGCUCUUUUGACCCAUUAUCUUUACAAAAAGUUGCAAUUAUGACCCCUUAUUUGGGACACGUGGCGUCUUCUCAACAAUUUUGGGACGAAGGGGGCCAAAAUUGUCAUUUUUUUUAAUAGGGGGUGAUAGAAUUUUGGCAAGUGUACCAAAUACUAUCGAAGUAGUAAAUAUCGUUCCACAAGGACUGGUUUUAAUCUCAAUAAUUCAAUUACGUUGUAACUUAAGAUGUAUAAAAGUUCUUUUAAAUUGCCGCUAGGCGGUUGAUUGUUUUGUUUGCAUAAGCAAUAACAGAAAAUAAAGAUUGGUUUUAAGAAUAAGAGAGAGAUGAGUUUAGGUCUUUCGAAUCAUCUAUGUUCCCCUAAUUGGUAUACUGCACUUAUUCUUGUGAAAGAGUCACUCGUUUUACGAUAGUUAACAAAAUAGUCCUAAUCAAUCCCUUGAGUUAGGACCCUCUUCUAGGGUUACAGCCCCUAAUUCCUUAGGUGGUCUAAUAACCUUUGAAGGUUUAAGCACGUUAACCUAAUAUCACUAAUAAAGGAUUAUCCAUUCCUAGACUAACCAUGUUUAUUAGAACAAUUCAAUUAGGUCUAAGUCGAACGCUAUGGUCAGUAGUCAUUCGUUCUCACUAAAUUAUGUUUAUAUUUGAUCAGGAUAUAAAAAGCAUUAAGAACAAUUGAAUUGAAUAAAAACUAGAUUGUCAUUCACAAAUAAUAGAGUUUCACAGCAACAUGUUUCAAUUAGGGUUACAAAGAAUCAUCUCAGACCUAACCUCUAAUGGAUUUAGCUACUCAUAAUGGUGUUUACAAAUAACAUAAUCAUUAGAGGAAUCAAUACAUACAUGAACUGGUAAAAGAGUGAAGAAAUCGCCCUUCUUGCCGUCUUGUAGUCUCAAAAUCGCACUUUGCUCUCUCCAAAUCGUAACCCUUGUUUUCAGAAUAGUCUUCAGCUUAAAUAGGCACAGAAUUUCGCCUAAAAUCGUGGCACGAUUUAAGUAAAUCGUGGCACGAUCCUCUUUGAAUCGCAAAUUACUGAAUUAGGGUUUCCUCCAAUCGUGUCACGAUUCGACCAUCGUGACACGAUUUCUUCAAUGUCGAAACUGGAUUAAGUCUUCAGGAAUCGUGGCACGUUUUCUAGAAAUCGUGACACGAUUUGCUUCUUUGUAUUUUCUACAGAAUUUCUGCUUUUCUUGCUGCAUAAGUUGCUUUGUGAACUCCAAAAUGUGAUAAAAAGUACAUAAAAAUUACGUAAUGACAAGAUGUCAUCAGGGGGCAAAAAUCGCAACAUUUCGAAACUUAAGGGAUGAAAAGUGCAGUCUAGCCUAGAAUAAAUUAGUUAUGUUCGUAUAUAACUGUUCAUUUCAUUAUGAUAUUUUAUACAUAGAACAAUAUUAACAAUGAUAUUUGUUACAUAACAGAGUGCCCAAUAGAUUGUGCUGAUACUGCAAACUUAACUCAAGAUUUUAACAUUCCAUCAAAGAGAAUUAGAAAACCAAACUCUAAAUUCUUAACUCCAGUGUCAUCUGCAAUUAACAAAUCAAAAUUCUCAACUGGACAAUCAUCAACACAAACACAACACUCUCAAGAACGUUCAGGUUUGACACAUUCAUUUGUUUUAUGUUAGUAUUAAUAAUAAUAUCAAUGUUAUAUAUUCAAGAUCGUAUUAAUAACACUAUCUAUAUUGAAUUACAGCUGGGUCAUUGGCAUUAUCCGAAGUUAUCAACGCCUCAUCCCAAAAAAUAAAUGGCAAAUAUUCAAGAAAGUUUUCAAACAAACACCAAUAUAUAGGUGUUCAAAGAUUAGACUUUGAUGAUGGUAUUAACACCAAUGGUAUAUGAUUGAACUUAUAAGUUUUUUUUUUUCAAUUGUCACAUAUAUAUGUACAUAUUUUUUAAUUACACUUUAUUUCUUAUCAACACAGUUUCAUCUAAUAUUGGAUAUGAUAUUAAUUCCUUAAAAUCUACAAUAUAUGCAAGUGCUGAAGUUGAAGGUAUGUCCUUUAAUUACUUUCAUUUACAUUAUCUCUUACUAGAGAGAACAAGUUUAAAGGUAUAAUGUUUAUUACAUUUGUAUCAAUUAUUUUUUCAGGAUCAGGGGCGGAUCUACUGUGAAACAUGGUGUGGCAGUUGCCACACCAGAUAUACGUUAAGUAUAUAUAUAAUAUAAGUCAUCAAUGUAUUGAAGUUUCUUUGUUAGUCUAACGGUAUACAUUUGAUGGUUGGCUUGCAGAUCCUGUGUUCAACUCUCGGCGAGUUGCAGUUUUUGAUCUUUUUUUUUAAAUUAUUAAUAUUAAAAAUGGUGUUGCAGGGAAUCGAACCUGUAACACCAUGGUAAAAUGCUCUCACCCAAACCACUUUGCUAUAGUUUUUAAGUUGUUAAAGCUUUACUUUGUUAAUAUAUAUAGUUGCUUUGCAAAUUUUGCCACACCAAUAUCAAUUGUCUGGAUCCGCCCCUGUUCAGGAUUGAUACAUUUUGGACAACCUGAGUUUACAUGUAAAAGGUGUUUUGCUGAAUUGUGGUAUGAGGAAAGAUCAGAGAAAUCAAGAAGAGGCAUUGAUAUAGAUUUUUCUAUUUGUUGUCAAAAAGGGAAAGUUGAACUUCCUCUUAUCACAAGACCACCACGUUUACUGUUAUCAUUAAUAAAUGGUUAUGAUCGUAGAAGCAAGCAUUUUAAGGAUAACUAUAGAGCAUACAAUAACAUGUUUGCCUUUACUUCCAUGGGAGGUAAUAUACAAACGACAAUCAACAAUGGUGGUGGGCCUCCCCAAUUUAUAUUGGUUGGACAAAAUUACCAUAGAAUUGUCACAAAUAAUGGCUUGAUUACACUAAAUAAUAUAUAAUUAUACUAAAUAAUUACAAUUAUUGGAAACAAAUCAAUUUCUGAUUUAUCUAAUAAAUAUAAUAAGGAGAACAAGUCAACUCCUUAUUCACAAGAAUCGGGUCUUUGUUGCCUGAACCAGGAACGACUCCAAAGUUUGCACAAUUAUACAUCUAUGAUACACAAAAUGAAGUUGAAAAUAGAGCUGGACAUUUUAGGUAAUGAAGUUAUAUCUAUUCAGCUUUGUGAUGUUUGAACUUUAUAGUACUAUAUUAUUGUCAGCAUUUUGAUCUCUAUCUUAAAUUUCUUAAUCAGGUCUGGAAAUAGUUCAGAUAAAAUUGACAUUUCGUUAGUUAAAGACCUAACUAAAAUGAUUGAUGAGUAUAAUCCACUUUCAAAAUCAUUUAGAAAGGUCAGAGAUAUGGUUAAAGCUGGCAAUGCUCCUUCGUUAGCCUUGAGAUUUAGAAAGCGUGCAAAUGAUUCAAGAAUGCACAAUAUUCCUACCGCUGACGAGGUUGCAGGUUUGAUUGUUGGUGAUUUUGAAGAUUCAGAUAUUGGUAGAGAUGUCAUAGUUCAUGAUACAAGCCUUGGAUUUACUAGGAUUCAUGAAACUCAUGUUUUGUUCUUGCCACUUCAAUACCCAUUGAUCUUUCCUUUGGGGGAAAAUGGUUGGGAACCAGACAUCCCUCAUAGAGAAAUAGAAGAUGGCCAAGAAAAAGAGAAGCAUGAUAGAACUACAAUUAGGCGGAAUUCAUGGCAUUUCACAUUCAAGAGAGAAAGAUUGAGUUUGGCAACAUUGUUUACUCCAAGAGGCUGUUUCAACAAUUUUUGGUAGAUUGUUACACUAUGAUAGAGGCCCAGCGUCUUUCAUUCAUAAGAGAAAAUCAACAAACUAUUAGAAGUGAUCUGUUGAGUGGUCUAAAGAAGCUAUUGAAAGCGGAGAUGUGGAUGCUUCACUUAUUGGAAAGAGUGUCAUACUUCCAGAUUCUUUUACAGGAGGUCCAAGAUAUAUGUUUAACAAUUGUCAAGAUGUAAUGGGUAUUUGUAAGAGGUUUGGUUAUCCGGAUCUGUUCAUUACAGUCACAUGCAAUUCAAAUUGGCCGGAAAUACGUGACUUUGUUACUUCCAAAGGGCUUCAAGCAUCUGACCGACCUGAUAUUGUGUGUAGAGUCUUCAAAAUGAAGUUGGAUGAAAUCAUGGCAGACUUCAAAAAGAAUGAAAUAUUUGGAAAGGUUAUUGCAGGCAAGUCUUACGUUUAAUAUGCAUAUUAAAAAUAACAAAAAAGGGAGUGCUCUCAAUAAAUAUUAUUAUAUACUUUGAACCUCAUCUAUAUUAAUGUCAUAUGCUAUUUUUUGUUACCAUAGGUAUGUAUACUGUCGAGUUUCAGAAGAGAGGCCUUCCACAUGCACAUAUAUUAUUGUGGUUAGAUGGUAAACACAAGUUAAUUACCAGUCGGGAUAUUGACAAGGUAAUAUCAGCUGAAAUCCCCCAUCCAAAGUUAUAUCCAAAGCUACACAGUGCUGUCGCGACAUUCAUGAUGCACGGACCAUGUGGAAAAGCCAAUCUUAAUUCUCCUUGCAUGAAGGUUCAUAGAUGCUCCAAGUAUUUUCCUAAAAAGUAUAAAUUAUCAACAACCAUUGAUGAUGAUGGUUAUCCAACUUACAAGAGACGUGAUACUGGAGUAACUGUGCAAAAAAAUGGUAUUAAAUUGGAUAAUGGAAGUGUUGUGCCUUACAAUCCCUUUCUACUUAUGAGGUAUCAAGGACAUAUUAAUGUUGAAUAUUGCAAUAAGUCCAAUGCCAUCAAAUAUUUAUUCAAAUAUGUCAACAAGGGGCCUGAUCGUUCCAAUAUUGAAAUCACAAAUGGAAAAGGUGUUUCACAUGAAAAAGAACCUAUUGAUGAAAUCAAACGGUUUUAUGAUUGCAGAUAUUUGUCUCCAUCUGAGUCUGCUUGGCGGAUUUUCAAAUUUGACAUUCAUCAAAAGUUUCCAGCAGUUAUCAGAUUGAGCAUUCAUUUGGAAAAUCAACAACCUGUUACUUUUAAAGACAAUAGUUCAAUUGAGAAUAUUGUGAAUUAUCGUGAAAUGAUAGACACAAUGUUUCUUGCAUGGUUUAAGGCGAAUGAAAUAUAUGAAGAGGGUCGUGGUCUGACAUAUGCUGAAUUCCCUUCAAAAUUUGUUUACUUGCCUAAUAAACAAUUGUGGCAACCAAGAAAGCAAGGUUUUAGUAUUGGAAGGCUGACAUAUGUCCCUGUUGGUGCUGGAGAGUUAUAUUACUUGAGAGUAUUGUUGACAAUGCAAAGGGGAUGCACAAGUUACCAAAGUAUUAAAACUGUCAAUGGCAAGAUUUGUAAAACAUUUCAGGAAGUUUGCAAUGAAUUAGGCCUUUUGAAAGAUGAUAAAGAGUUUAUAGAUGGAAUUCAAGAAGCUUUCAACACGGCUACGGGUAAUCAAAUGAGGAAGUUGUUUGUGAGAUUGCUUAACAUGAAUACAAUGAACAACCCACUUGAGGUUUGGAAUUCUACUUGGAAGUUGUUGUCUGAUGGCAUUCUUUACAAUAGAAGAAAGACACUAAACAUUCCAGGUGAUGUUUUCAGUUAACAUUUAUGAAAUUUAAGCACUGUUUAUUUCAAUUAAAUGUAUUCUGAUGUCUAUAUUUAAAUUAAUGUAGAUUUACAAAUCUGUGAUGAUGAGUUACAAAACCUUUGUCUCAUUGAGGUUGACAAUUUAUUGAUGGCAAAUGGAAGAUCACUAGAAGAUUACAAAACCAUGCCUACCCCUGAGUUUGAUGAUGUCAUUGAAUUUCAAAAUAAGCUCAUAGCAGAUGAACUCAACUAUGACAGAAAUGAGUUAGGUAUUUUACAUGCAAGUUUGGUUGAAAAACUGACUGAAGAGCAGCAUUUGGUCUAUACAAAGAUAAUGACAUCUGUUUUAUCUGGAGAUGGUCAAUUUUAUUUUUUGUAUGGAUAUGGUGGGACAGGGAAAACUUUUUUGUGGAAAACACUUUCUGCUGCUAUCAGAUCACAAGGAAAAAUUGUGCUUAACGUAGCUUCAAGUGGAAUUGCUUCAUUACUGCUCCUUAAUGGGAAAACUGCUCAUUCAACAUUUUGCAUCCCAUUGGAUAUAAAUGAGAAAUCUACUUGCAAUGUGACACAACUUUCUAUUAGAGCCAAAUUGUUAAGAGCAACCAGCCUAUUCAUUUGGGAUGAAGCUCCAAUGAUGAAUAGAUUUUGUUUUGAAGCUUUUGAUCGAACAAUGAGGGAUUUGAUGAAAAAGGUUAAUAAGGAUAACUGUAAAAAACCUUUUGGUGGAAAAGUUGUUGUAUUGGGUGGAGAUUUCAGACAGAUUCUGCCGGUUGUUAGAAAUGGUCCUAGAGCUGCAAUUGUUAAGGCAACAGUUAGUUCAUCAAAAAUAUGGAAGGACUGCAAAGUAUUGAAGUUGACAAAGAACAUGAGGUUGACCGGUGAUACUACAAACCAAUCACGCAAUGAACUCAAACACUUUGCGGAUUGGAUAUUGAAAAUUGGGGAUGGUUUACUAAAUCCAGAUGAGAAUGGAGAAGCACACAUUCAAAUACCUGAAGAGCUGUGCAUUUUACAUGGUGAGAAUCCAUUACUUUCUUUGGUUGAUUUUGUUUAUCCAGAUAUAGUUAAAAAUAUUGCAAAUGCUAAUUAUUUUGAAGAUCAAGCAAUCCUUGCUCCAACAUUAGAGAUUGUUGAACAAGUAAAUGAUUUUGUACUAUCUAUGAUUCCUGGUGACUCUAAAACUUAUUUAAGUUCUGAUACACCAUGCAAGUCUGAUGAGGAUUACCAGGUUCAAAGCGAUUGGUUUACAUCAGAAUUUUUAAAUGAUGUCAAGUGCUCUGGGAUACCUAAUCAUCGUUUAACUCUAAAAGUUGGCGUGCCUGUAAUGCUUUUGCGGAAUAUUGAUCUAGCAAGCGGUUUGUGCAAUGGUACAAGGCUUCAAGUUAAGGAGUUAGGAAAGAAUAUUAUAACUGCCACCGUUAUCACUGGAAAAAAUAUUGGUGAAAGUGUAUAUAUUCCAAGGAUGGAUUUGGUACCUACUGAUUCCGGUCUACCUUUCAAGUUCUCUCGCCGACAAUUUCCUAUUUGCUUAUGCUUUGCAAUGACAAUAAACAAAAGUCAAGGACAAUCUCUUUCCAAGGUUGGGAUGUAUUUACCUCGACCAGUUUUUACACAUGGCCAACUAUAUGUAGCAAUCUCUAGAGUUACAACAAAAAAAGGUUUGAAGAUGUUAAUCUUAGAUGAAGAUGGGAACACUUGCACUACAACUUUGAAUGUUGUAUAUCCGGAAGUGUUCGAAAAUUUGUAGGGACAUCAAAUACAAACAGCAAAUUCAGAACACAAGAUAACAUGAUUAUGUGUAUUAAUGCUUGCAUAUUUAACAAGACAAACACACCAAAUUUAUUUAUUUUUUGAUGAAAAAACACACCAAAUUUAACCAACUUACUUUUUCUCAUUAGAGGCCUGAUAUUGUCUGCAAUUCUGCUGAUUUUUUGCUUUCUUAGGAGUAUCAACUUUGAAGCCUGUUUUUACUUUAAACUACAUAUAUUAUUGAAUGUUGUCAUUUUGAUGUACAUGGCCUUGAGGUUAUUUUGAUAGUCUGUAAGCCUGUACGUGGUCUUGAGCUAUGGUUCGAAGGAUACAAAGUUAACCUUCUAUAUGAAAAUUUAGAAUUAUGAUUACUCCACUAUUAAACGUUGACUGUAUAACUAAACCAAUUAUUGUAACUCCUACCACUCCUACCCCAUAUGCAUAGAGGAUUUUAUGUCAACUAUAUAUGAGUGUAAUUUAUAAUCAUUUUUCUCCCCGUGCGUUGCACGGGUGUUAAAACUAGUACUACACAGCCACACAUUAAUUAAUGAAGCAUUGGAAUUGCACAGAUAUAUCAUGCGGUGAUGUUUAUGGAUCGGUUAACUAUUAAUGAAGCAUUGGAAUUGCACAGUCAUUGAAAAGGUGCAUUGAAAUACAUUAAGCAUCGGCAGACUCCAAAGGUUGUGGGAGGGAAAUUCAAAAAUUCAACUUAGCUUAAUGAGUAGGAAAAGUACUAACAAAAAUUAAAUGUUUAGGUGAUGGAGGGAAAAUAUUAGGUUAAAAUUAGGGUGAACAAUAGCUUGACCAGAUAAACUUUAGUAAGAAAGAUUGAGCAAGUUCUAUUUAGCUAAUUUUUAUCGAUGACUUAACAUUAAAUAUUUCUUUUUUAAUAGACCAAACUUGUCAUUGUUAAUUAAGCCCAUAUAAGAAAUCAAGAUCAGGAUUAUCUUUCUCUUAACGCAUUGUUAUGAUGUUAUUAUUGAUAUAGAUGUUUUACACAUUAUUUAUUGAUUAGUAAAAGAAAAAGAUAGAUAGAAUACUUAUUUAAUCAUCAUGGUCAUUUUAUAAUAUCUAUCGAGCAAGUUUGAUUUAGUUAAUAUAUAUUAGAAAUUUAACAUUAAAAAUGUGUUUUUUAAAUAGACCAGACUUGUCAUCGUUAGAUGUACCCAUAUAGAAAAAUCAAGAUCACAUUGUAUAUUUUAGGCUUAAUUACACUUUUGGUUCUCGUGUUUAAGCCUACUUACGAAACUGGUUCUGUCCUUUUAAAACAGAACAAAACGGUCCUUCAAUUAUCAUUUUUGUUGCAUUUUUCGUCCUACCUCCUAUUUUCAAACUCCAGAAAUGCAGAGAAAUGACAGUUUUAGGCGGUUUUAGACCUACCCCUAUGCUCAACCAUGUAUCAAUAAGGAAUAAAACAUGUGAGCACAAGGAAUCUAUUCUAUUCAGCACACUAACAAAAAAAAACCUAAUUUGAUACAUAUCUUAGAAAUUAGGGUUUUUUUUUGUUAGUGUGUUGAAUAUAGUGGUUCUUUGUACCCACAUGUUUUAUUCCUUGUUUAUUUCAUGGUUGAGCAUAGGGGGUAGAUCUAAAAAUCUAAUUUCUCUGCGUUUUUGGAGAAUAAAAUGGGGGGUAGGACGAAAAAUGCAACAAAAAUGAUAAUUGAAGUACCGUUUUGUUCUGUUUUACAAGGGCAUGACCAGAUUCGUGAGUAGGCCGAAACACGAGGACCAAAAGUGUAAUUAUAUUUUAACUAGAGAAAAUGUUAGAAAGAGAGCGUUCUUAACAUCUUUCAUAAGCCUAAUACUAAAUAGGUACAAUUUUUCCAAGGCUUAAGCACACAACAAACAUGUGCUACUAAAUAGCGAAAUCUUAUGAAUGACUAAUCACACCAUUAAUACUACAUAACCAAAUCAUACCAAGGUCGGAGUUUAUAAAGACAAAUGAAACAAUAACAUAAAUGGAAGAGAUAUUAUAUAUAAAUAGACCGGUAUGAUAGGCCUAAUAGGUUUUUUUGUAAUCCUUAGUUAACCUAUUUAAUUAAAUAGACUUCAUAAAAAGUUUGAACCUAACUUUUUUAUUAAACGGACUAGACCAAAGUAAGCUUUAAAUAGGUCUGACAUGUUUGCACCCCACACACAAUUACAUGUCAUACUGAAAUAAAACAUAUCCUAACCCUCUUCCUAACCCUAACAAACAACCUAGCAAAACCAACUCCCAACCUACCCAACUACACAAAUAGUACAAGAUACAUGACACUACACACACGCGACAAUGCACACAAAAACACAUAAAAUCAAUUAUCAAUGUAAGGCUAUUUGUUAUUGAUAUUUAUUGAUUUCAUUUACCUCAAUUCAAUUAAAUCUUUUUUUUUUUUUUUUCCAGAGUAUCUCUAUUUAUCUAGAGAAUUUUUAUCAAGAAUUAAUCAAGAGUAAUGAUAGAUAUCGCGAGAAAUAUUGUCACGAAGGCGUCAUGACAUAUGCAAUACCCACCGUUUUUUCCACCCUGUCUAAAAUUAAAAUAAAAAAAAGGAAAAUGCUAGAUAUCAAGAAUGAUUUUAUAAGAAAGAUUCAAGAAUGACAUGGCACAAUAAUCACAUUUAGAUUUCAGUCUCAUUUAUUAAUCUUUCAUAAAAAAAAAUACAUAACACCCACCACCCCAUGAUUUCCGGCCAGACUGAAAUUUUAUUGGCUAACAUUAAUUUCAAGACUAUUUCUUGAUAAAAUCUAAGGGUGAUUAUUCUGCCAUGUCAUUUUUAAAAUUUUCUUGAUAAAAUCUUUCUUAAUAUAUAACAUUGCUCUAAAAAAAAACUGGUUGUCUUUUUUUUUUUUAACCGAAAAUAUUCUUGGCGAGCAUUUCAGGAUAGAGAAGUUCGCUCUAUAUAGCACUUCUUAUUAAGCAAAGGUGUGGAGCGACUACACUGUUGGAAAGUUUUCGUGAAAUCUAUUUUUCAUUGUUUUUAUUAAUUCCCUUCUUUUUAAUUCCUUUGAAUUAGAGCUGCAAUGCCCUUAACUUCUCUUCCAAAAAUAAUGAGAUUUUUUACCAAGAUUUCGUUCAUCCAAACGUGACCCAUUCUCCAUCAACAAUAGCUCAUGUCACUUACACACAUAUAAAAGGUAUUUAUUAAGGGAAAUUCUACGAUGAAGUUGCCAAAAUGACUUCUUCGAUGAAGUAACCUUACAGCUAAUAAGAACACGCCACGUGUGUUAGUUAUGUCAUGUUAUAGUGGCGGAUGCAUGGUAUGUAUUGUGUACCUUCAGUCAAAUUUAAUUGUAUUUUAACCCUUAGAUUUUUUGAAUCAUCGAAUUAAACUCUUUAGUGUUAUUGUGUUGCCUUUCACACUAUAUUUAUUUCAUUUCUUCUUUUUGAAUUUUUCUUCCUUCUAUUUCAGAAUAUAUUUAAAUAAACCUUUUUAUGAUAAACCUUUUUAUAAAAAAAUAUUUCAUUAUUGAAAAUAAAUAAACCCAGGAAGAUUAUGAACAUCAUCACCAUGUUCAUACUUUCAUCAUCUUUUUUAUUGAACAAAAAACAAAAUAGCUACUCUAAUUCACCUCCAAAAAUUAAAAUGUCAUGAUUUGUGUUAUUAAAGUUUUCAAAUCUAUGUCGUAAAAUUCAGCAACAUAGGCGCAAAGAUAGGAUGAACGCGACGAUGACAGCAGUAAUCCGGCGAUGGUUUAAAUGUUGUUUGAACAACACACAUUUUUGAAUACAGAACAAAAUAAAACAGGAACAGAGUAAGACAUAAAGCCCACUUGAAGAAUUUUGAAUCUUCUUCAUUCACUAAUAGCCAUCACAUGCGGUUCACACCAAAUUAUCAAUAUAAAAAACGUUUUUUUAGAUUACCCUCUCUUGUUAUCUAGCAAUCAAAGUGGGGUAUUUACCCCUUUAUGAUAUCUACCAAUCAAAGUGUAGUAUUUAUUGAGAACGUUAAUUGUCAAAUAAAUGACUCAAUUUUAUCUAAAAAAAAAAAAAUCAGCUUUAAUCAUAAAGUAAUUUUUAAUACUUUUAAUUUUUAUUUAAUUAUAGACAAGAUUACAUUAGUGAUCUUUUAUCUUUUUAUUUGUAACAUUUGUGAAAUUAAGGUUUUAACUUUUGUGUUUAAAAGAAGAUUUGAAGUGAAUAUAACAUUAAUUCACGAUAUUUGAAGAUAUAUUUGUGUAGAAAUUUUUUUGAUUCAAUGAAGAUGAUGAAGAUUCAAAGGAAGAAGAUGAAGAUGAUGAACAUCUUCAUCAUAUUUCUGGAUUUUUUUUCAUUUUUAAUAAAAUUAUAUUUUUAAAAAUAAAAUUAUGUAUUUUUUAAUAAAAAAUGAGAAAAAAGAUGAAUAUGUGCUUUUAAGAGAGAUAAAGGACAUAAACGGAAAAAAAUAUAGAUAACGGACCAAAGUAUUACAAAUAAAUAAGAUAAAGGAUCCCUAAUGUAAUUUUGCCUUAAUUAUAUUUAGGUGUUCAAUCUUAAUUAAUUUACACUGCAGGACUGACUUAGAACAAUUAAAAUUUCACAUCAAAUUUAUUCCAUAUGAAUGUCCUUAAAUAUAUCAGUUACAUGCAUAAAGAUUCUUCUUCCAUUUUGAUUGUUCAAUUUGUCGUUCCAAACUGCCGCAAUUUUCAAUUUUCCUGAGAAUUGUCGUCGUUCGUUUGAUUCCAAAUAUCGUGAGAAUUAUCGUUAUUUCGAGAACCAUGUCAGGUAUGGUGACUUGAUUUUUGUUUUUGAUUUGAUUUUUCUUGGUUGUGAGGUAGUUAAUUAUAACAUUUGAAUAAGUCGUCAUUUGUUGUACUUUGAGGACUGCUAGCAGGUGUUGCCGCUGUGAUGUUGUGGGAGUUUGCUAGCAUUUUUUUCGGUUGCUGCUGAAUUGGUUAUGUCAUGAGGCUUUUGUUCUUUUGUUUGGACUUAAAGGCUUUGGCUGAUAGUGAGACAGGUCUAUGCGUGUUAGCAGAUUUUAGUAGGUUAGCUGCUUAAAUAAAAAAAAAAUCAAAUCACGAUACUUGACGCGGUUCUAGAAACAACGACAAUUCUCAAUAUAAUUUAAAACUGCGAAAGUUUUGAAUGACAAAAUUGAACAAUCAAAAUGGGAAGAAGAAUGAAAAAGAAACAAGAUUUGAUCAAUAAGGAAGAAUAAAGAAGAAGAAAUUUGAAUGAAGAAGAUGUUUUUGUUCUCAGAUUCGGGGUUCUGAAAUGUAAGAAAUUUUAUGAAUGCAAGUGAUGAAUUUAAGGACAUCCAGAUGAAAGAAAUUUGAUGUAAAAUUUUAUUUGUUACAAGUCUUGUAGUGUAAAUUAAUUAAGAUUGAACACCUUAAUAUAAUUAAAUAAAAAUUAAAAGUAUUAAAAUUUACCUUCUGAUUAAGAUUAACUCUUUUAUUUUUAGAAAAAAUUGAUUCAUUUAUUUGACAUUUAAUGUUGCCUAUGUAUAUUACAUUUUGAUUGGUUGAUAUCGUAAGAGUGUAAUUAUUCACUAAACAAGAAAGGGUAACGUAGGCUACACCUUGAAAAAAUUAUCCUUUUUGAGGGUUUAGAACAUUGCCAAAAAAUGAGUGAUAUAUAAAAUUUAAUUUGCUUAAUUGCACUUUUCUCCCCUAUAUUUUGCCAAUUGUGCGACUUUGCACCCAAUAGUUUUAAACGAGCGAUUUUGUCCCCUAUAGUUUUCCCCCUUUCUGAUUUUAUGGUCCCCAUGACAUUUAGUGCUGAUUUUUUUAUCAAUUAAUGUGUGCCACAUGUGUAAUUCCAUUUUUUAAAAAAUAAAAAAAAUCGUAUUUUUCAGAUUUUGAGAGAAGGAGCACGUGAUUUUUCAGAUUUUAAGAAGAAAUAUCACGUGCCUCAUUCUCUCAAAAUCUGAAAAAUACUAUUUUUUUUUAUUUUUUAAAAAAUGGAAUUACACACGUGACACACAUUAAUUGAUAAAAAACAGACAUAUCAGCACUAAAUGUCAUGGGGACCAUAAAAUCAGAAAGGGGAAAAACUAUAGGGGGCAAAAUCGCUCGUUUAAAACUAUGGGGUGCAAAAUCGCACAAUUGACAAACUAUAGGAGGGAAAGUGCAAUUAAGUCAAUUUAAUUUAAUUAGUAAAAAUGUAUUCAUAAGGAAAGUAAGGAAAUGCAAAAGUCGAUAAAUUAUUUUUAUUUUUGUUGCUAACAGUCGAUAAAUUAUUUUACUAAAAAUUACAUAAUGCUUGUAUUUUCAUGACUAAACAAUAAAUAUUAGUAAAAUUGUAAAGAAGCGAAAGCGUACCUUUUAUCUAACAAUUUCUACAGAGGGCACUUGCUUGAAGAUCCAAUGCUCUUCUCCUUCAUCGGGAACAAUGCUCUGUUGAAGACAGAGAACUUCAAGCUUGUGUAAGUGUUGAAUAUCAGCUGGUAACGUUCUCAGUUGGGGAAUGAAUGUGUCAGAUUCGACUCCACUAAUAUUUAGUUUCUCCAAUUCGUGCAUCUGAUUGAUUGAGGAACAUAAAGCACUCAUAUAUUUACUCCAAACACCGGCCAAGCCCAAUUCCCUUAGCUGAUUUAGCUUUCCUAGCUCUAUUGUCAUCUUCAUCUUCAUCAUCGUCUAAAUAAACCUCCCUUAGAGUUUGUAGGGAUGUCAUGCCUCCAAUACCAUCCUUCAAUUCAAUCAAACGCAUAUUGAAGCCUCGCAAGCUCCUGCGGCAUAUUAUGAUUUUCAAACCUUAUAUAUCUUAAAUCCAAAGUCUCUAGGUUCACUAGCAUGCCAAUGGAUUUUGGAAGUUUAGAAUAUCUACUUCCAUUCACCUAGAACCCAAAAUAUUUCAAGUGGUUUAAACUUCCCAAAUCAUUAGGAAUUUCAAGAAACACCUCAUGUGCCAAAGCAAGCACCUUCAACCGCCUAUAUGUUGUUGGGAUUCUCCUCACAAAGGAUUCAAGUGAUGUUUUAUUUGUGAGAACAAGCACUGAUCGAACAUGUGGGUUUUCAAUACCUUCCAUUAGAAUACCUGAAUUGGGUGCUAUUGAUAGGCGUUGAAUCAUUCCAGUUAA